rnacentral:lncRNA from 1 species
GGAGGAGGAGGAGGUGGUGGAGGCGGCAUAUCCUCACGUGCUAGGGUCUCACGAGUCGGUGGAGCCAUCCUGAAGACGGACAGCAUAUUAGUCCACAGAAUAAUUGAAGAUAUUGCUGAAUCAAAAGACAGAAUAUCUGAAUAGAAUUUAGCAUUGCACUCGAACAACAUAGCAAGAGUGCAUCCUCAAAGUAACAGACGACAAAAUUCCGAUAAGGACCACUGCAAACAAGUGUGAGCUAGAACUGCUCGGAACAAACAUAUGACCGAGAUUUCCCAAACCUCAAUCAAGCGUCUGUAGGAAGAUAGUCCUAUAAGAUACUACUAGAUAUCCCACCUAUGAAUUCCCUAAAUAACUGGUCAUGCAAUCAGGUACACGGAUACAAGGAGUAUUUCACACAACUCCUAAACUAACCCGUCACCUGUAUCACAUCCUUCAACACACAACCAGCAUCUCGGACCUUCAUCUACAACAGACCCUCGUGAUCACAAUGAUAACAAGUGUGGUAAUACCCCCGAACAAUCUACACCAGCACUGGGGACAUCGGAGCUAUCUCACCACUACCCGUAUUGAAGCAAUAACGAACACCCUCCGUUCUUAGAUACUCAGAAAUCUGAAUGAUGGCGAUGUGCGCGAUAAUCCCUGGAGCUCAACUCCCCUGAUACUUAGAGCAGAUAGGAGGCACCAGGACAGGAUUCCGUCACAUCAAAAUCAUAUAGAUUUCACAAAUACCCGCGUGAUCCUAAAAAAAAUUUGAGCGAGAAAAGGAGUAGAGUUAAAGAUAUCCUAAGACGGGAACCUCACCAGAGCAUAGAAGAGGAGAAAAAAGANNNNNNNNNNNNNNNNNNNNNNNNNNNNNNNNNNNNNNNNNNNNNNNNNNNNNNNNNNNNNNNNNNNNNNNNNNNNNNNNNNNNNNNNNNNNNNNNNNNNNNNNNNNNNNNNNNNNNNNNNNNNNNNNNNNNNNNNNNNNNNNNNNNNNNNNNNNNNNNNNNNNNNNNNNNNNNNNNNNNNNNNNNNNNNNNNNNNNNNNNNNNNNNNNNNNNNNNNNNNNNNNNNNNNNNNNNNNNNNNNNNNNNNNNNNNNNNNNNNNNNNNNNNNNNNNNNNNNNNNNNNNNNNNNNNNNNNNNNNNNNNNNNNNNNNNNNNNNNNAGAAGAGGAGAAAAAAGAGUCCUACUCUCCGAUAUAACUAAGACUCAAAACAUUUCCUAGACUCUACUCGGCCAAAUACGAUCACACAAAGGCUCCUAUGGUCGUAAGGCUAUGAUUACCAACUUGUAACGACCAAGAUGCNNNNNNNNNNNNNNNNNNNNNNNNNNNNNNNNNNNNNNNNNNNNNNNNNNNNNNNNNNNNNNNNNNNNNNNNNNNNNNNNNNNNNNNNNNNNNNNNNNNNUGUUGGAAUUAUGCCCUAGAGGCAAUAAUAAAUGUAUAGUUAUUAUUAUAAUUCCUGUAUCAAGAUGAUAGUUUAUUAUCCAUGCUAUAAUUGUAUUGAAUGAAGACUCAUUUACAUGUGUGGAUACAUAGACAAAACACCGUCCCUAGCAUGCCUCUAGUUGGCUAGCCAGUUGAUCAAUGAUAGUCAGUGUCUUCUGAUUAUGAACAAGGUGUUGUUGCUUGAUAACUGGAUCACGUCAUUGGGAGAAUCACGUGAUGGACUAGACCCAAACUAAUAGACGUAGCAUGUUGAUCGUGUCAUUUUGUUGCUACUGUUUUCUGCGUGUCAAGUAUUUAUUCCUAUGACCAUGAGAUCAUAUAACUCACUGACACCGGAGGAAUGCUUUGUGUGUAUCAAACUUCGCAACGUAACUGGGUGCUAUAAAGAUGCCCUACAGGUAUCUCCGAAGGUGUUAGUUGAGUUAGUAUGGAUCAAGACUGGGAUUUGUCACUCCGUGUGACGGAGAGGUAUCUCGGGGCCCACUCGGUAAUACAACAUCACACACAAGCCUUGCAAGCAAUGUAACUUAGUGUAAGUUGCGGGAUCUUGUAUUACGGAACGAGUAAAGAGACUUGCCGGUAAACGAGAUUGAAAUAGGUAUGCGGAUACUGACGAUCGAAUCUCGGGCAAGUAACAUACCGAAGGACAAAGGGAAUGACAUAAGGGAUUAUACGAAUCCUUGGCACUGAGGUUCAAACGAUAAGAUCUUCGUAGAAUAUGUAGGAUCCAAUAUGGGCAUCCAGGUCCCGCUAUUGGAUAUUGACCGAGGAGUCUCUCGGGUCAUGUCUACAUAGUUCUCGAACCCGCAGGGUCUGCACACUUAAGGUUCGACGUUGUUUUAUGCGUAUUAGAGUUAUAUGGUUGGUUACCGAAUGUUGUUCGGAGUCCCGGAUGAGAUCACGGACGUCACGAGGGUUUCCGGAAUGGUCCGGAAACGAAGAUUGAUAUAUAGGAUGACCUCAUUUGAUUACCGGAAGGUUUUCGGAGUUACCGAGAAUGUACCGGGAAUGACGAAUGGGUUCCGGGAGUUCACCGGGGGGGCAACCCACCCCGGGGAAGCCCAUAGGCUUUGGGGAGACACACCAGCCCUUAGUGGGCUGGUGGGACAGCCCCAAGGGGGCCUAUGCGCCAAGAAUAAAGAAUCAAAGGAAAAGAAAAAAAAAGGGGGAGGAAGUGGGAAGGGAGGGGGACUCCUCCCACCAAACCAAGUCCAACUCGGUUUGGGGGGGAGUCCUCCCCCCCUUGGCUCGGCCGACUCCUUGGGGGUCCUUGGACCCCAAGGCAAGGCCCCCCCUCCCUCCUCCUAUAUAUAUGGAGCAAUUAGGGCUGAUUUGAGACGACUUUCUCACGGCUGCCCGACCACAUACCUCCAUAGUUUUUCCUCUAGAUCGCGUUUCUGCGGAGCUCGGGCGGAGCCCUGCUGAGACAAGAUCAUCACCAACCUCCGGAGCGCCGUCACGCUGCCGGAGAACUCUUCUACCUCUCCGUCUCUCUUGCUGGAUCAAGAAGGCCGAGAUCAUCGUCGAGCUGUACGUGUGCUGAACGCGGAGGUGCCGUCCGUUCGGUACUAGAUCGUGGGACUGAUCGCGGGAUUGUUCGCGGGGNNNNNNNNNNNNNNNNNNNNNNNNNNNNNNNNNNNNNNNNNNNNNNNNNNNNNNNNNNNNNNNNNNNNNNNNNNNNNNNNNNNNNNNNNNNNNNNNNNNNAUUUGUGGUCACUUGUUCCAAGUAAGUGCCCACAUAUUAUAUAUUAUUUUGGGGUAGAAUCUCCGAAGGGAUCCAGUGGUGAAGUUUGUCUUGCCAUUAGGAUACUUUAUGGAGUUGACAUAUUCAGAUUUGUUGCACGUUUGUUCCUUGAUUCCAUGGAAUAGGUGGAGCCCAAGGGCAUGAGUUUUUGUGUGGUAAUAGUAGGGGUUUUGCUCUACACCAUAGUGGUGUCAUUUAUCACAUUGGUGUUAUUUGUGUGCAAACUAUGCCUAGACAAAGUGGGCAUGUGGCUGAAANNNNNNNNNNNNNNNNNNNNNNNNNNNNNNNNNNNNNNNNNNNNNNNNNNNNNNNNNNNNNNNNNNNNNNNNNNNNNNNNNNNNNNNNNNNNNNNNNNNNNNNNNNNNNNNNNNNNNNNNNNNNNNNNNNNNNNNNNNNNNNNNNNNNNNNNNNNNNNNNNNNNNNNNNNNNNNNNNNNNNNNNNNNNNNNNNNNNNNNNNNNNNNNNNNNNNNNNNNNNNNNNNNNNNNNNNNNNNNNNNNNNNNNNNNNNNNNNNNNNNNNNNNNNNNNNNNNNNNNNNNNNNNNNNNNNNNNNNNNNNNNNNNNNNNNNNNNNNNNNNNNNNGUGCUGGUCAUUCUGUUGAGAACUAGCCUUGGUUCAGUGCUAGGGUUUUGAACCUGCUAUGUUUGUGAAGCUCUCUGUAAAAUUGCAAAUCAUUUGGAGUCCAGUAGGUUGUGUUUUGAUUGCUGUCAAAAAGCUUCGGAACAAAGACAGAAACUCAGGUGCAGGAAUUUUCACCAAGUCCCUGAGAUCUGAUGGUUUUGGGAAAGUUUGUGGCCUUGUAUAUUCUAGAGUUUUAUUCCUUUUUCUGUUAUUAUUGCUGGUGUUGGUAGUGUUCUUGGUGGUCUACAUCCACAUAUAUUAUUUGUCAUGUUUGGAGGCCUAUAGCUAUGUUGCAUGUAGNNNNNNNNNNNNNNNNNNNNNNNNNNNNNNNNNNNNNNNNNNNNNNNNNNNNNNNNNNNNNNNNNNNNNNNNNNNNNNNNNNNNNNNNNNNNNNNNNNNNAACCAAGUAAGCAGCAUAUUCCCUAUCUGAAGCAACCACCCCUCAUCCAUAAAUAUCUCCCCUCCCCCUGCCCCCCCCCACCCACCACCAAUCCCAACAACCCCAUCUCAGAUCCCCCACACCCCACCACCGUAAUCUCUUCCCCCCUUCUUCUUCCUCCCUCCCCAAUACUGCACUGGCAUGAACACACAAAAAUCUGAAGGAAAAUAACAACACAACCAGCAAGAAGAAGGUGAAUUCUGCACUUGUCUAAGUUAUCCAAGCAGCAAAAUAUAACAGGUACGCAACUGCCCUAUACCAGGAUCAUUCCCAACAAAUAUGACUCUACUUACAGAAAAAACUAUAGGGAACAUGUACAAAUUACUACACCCUCAGAUCUCUUGUUUCUCCCCCUCAAAGACAACACCUAUCUUUUCUCCGCACCCACAGAUUUCCACCUCUCUUUCUCCUCUCUCGAUCUUCAGCUUCUGAUCCUCUUUCCAAUUCCCCUGUCCCAGAACAAAAAAGUCAGAAAAAACACUGAUAUAUUGUCUCCAUCUGGCACAAAAACAUGCACGGGGAGGNNNNNNNNNNNNNNNNNNNNNNNNNNNNNNNNNNNNNNNNNNNNNNNNNNNNNNNNNNNNNNNNNNNNNNNNNNNNNNNNNNNNNNNNNNNNNNNNNNNNGAGAUCGGGCACUUUUGACCUUGGGGCGCAACAAUGGAGCUUAGAGAGGUAAGAGAUAGGGUUCCUUAGCUAGAAGAACCCUUUAUAUAGUGGGGGGGGGGAAUCAGACCGUUUUCCCACUCUCUGCCCGAGCUCCAGCGGUACUACCGCUGGCUGCAGCGGUACUACCGCUGGCACUCCAGCGGUACUACCGCUGAACAGGGGCGGUACUACCGCCGCCUGGCGGUACUACCGCUGGAUGCAGCGGUACUACGCUGGGACUCCAACGGUACUACCGCUGACACCAGCGGUACUACCGUUGGCCCUUCGGUAGUGCAAAAGCACUACUACCGCCAAGAAAGUCUUCGCAAAAAGGUCCGUCCACGAACUACCGCUAGGCAGGUGGAACAAAGCUCCUGGAGCGGUACUACCGCUAGCUAGAGGUACUACCGCUGGCUGCAGGUACUACCGCGAGCAAUCCAGCGGUACUACCGCUAGAGCCAGCGGUACUACCGCUGGGGACCAUUUUGCAGAGAUGCGAGAAACAAAGUGGCGGGGGCCACUUCAAAGAUAAAGGAAAGGGAGAAUGUGAAGUGUGCGUGUGCAAAGAUAGAUUCCACCCAAACCUUUCCACUACGGAUCCCCUCUUAAUAGUACGGCUUUCCUAUGACUCAAAUAAAGAGAAUCAAAGAGAGCGCCGUGCUUCCNNNNNNNNNNNNNNNNNNNNNNNNNNNNNNNNNNNNNNNNNNNNNNNNNNNNNNNNNNNNNNNNNNNNNNNNNNNNNNNNNNNNNNNNNNNNNNNNNNNNGGCUCCCUGGCUGAGAUGUUGCUGCUUUGUGAGGAGGCUAUGUCUCAGGAGUCUGCCCCUCUGGAUAUUUCUGAUGUGAUGUUAUAUCAACGCCCACAAACUCAAGAAAAGAUAUAUCAUCAUGUCUUUGGCCAUAUCGUAUCACAACAUACCAUGCAAAAACAAGUUAGAUGACCUCUAAUUUGUUGUUGCAUGUUUUAGGUGGCUGCUAUGGGUAUCUAGCAAGAACACUUCUUACCUACGCAAAAAACCACAAGAGUGAUAUGCAAUUUGCUAUUUAACCUUCUACAGGGACCGCCUUUGUCGAAUCCCAUUCUACUAAAGUAGGAGAUACAGAAAACCGCCAACCAUCUUUAUGCAACAAGUUGCAUGUCAGUCGAUGGAACCGGUCUCUCGUACAUGUAAGUAAGGUUGGUCUGGGCCACUUCAUCCAACAAUACCGCUAAAUCAAGAAACUCCUUUGUGUUCUACUCGAGAUGUCUUCUACUCAUAGUCGUAGCUCAUGAUGCCGUUGUUGUGGAAUGUUGCAUGGGAAACAAAAAAAAAUCCUACGCACAUACAAGGUAUAUCCAUGGUGAUGACCAUCUACGAGAGGAGAGAUCGGAUCCACAUACCCUUGUAGAUCGCUAAGCGGGAAGCAUUAAGAAACGCGAUUGAUGUAGUCGAACGUCUUCGCGAUCCAAAUCACAAGUCGUCCCGCGAUCCAAUGACGAUCUAGCGCCGAACGGACGACACCUCCACGUUCAACACACGUAUAGCUUGAUGACAAUCUUCACCUUCUUGAUCCAGCAAGAGGGGUGGAGAGGUAGAUGAGUUCUCCGGUAGCACGACGGGGUGGUGGUGGAGUAAUCCGGCAAGGCUUCGCCGAGCUCUACUGAGCUAAUCUAGACGAAGGAGACGAUCUAUGGAGGAUAUGGUAGUGAUUUCUACUACGCAACCUUCUCCUUGUAGACGUUGUUGGGCCUCCAAGUGCAGAGGUUUGUAGGACAGUAGCAAUUUUCCCUCAAGUAGGUGACCUAAGGUUUAUCAAUAUGCGGGAGGUGCAGGAUGAAGAUGGUCUCUCUCAAGCAACCCUGAAACCAAAUAACAAAGAGUCUCUUGUGUCCCCAACACACGCAAUACAAUGGUAAGUUGUAUAGGUGCNNNNNNNNNNNNNNNNNNNNNNNNNNNNNNNNNNNNNNNNNNNNNNNNNNNNNNNNNNNNNNNNNNNNNNNNNNNNNNNNNNNNNNNNNNNNNNNNNNNNNNNNNNNNNNNNNNNNNNNNNNNNNNNNNNNNNNNNNNNNNNNNNNNNNNNNNNNNNNNNNNNNNNNNNNNNNNNNNNNNNNNNNNNNNNNNNNNNNNNNNNNNNNNNNNNNNNNNNNNNNNNNNNNNNNNNNNNNNNNNNNNNNNNNNNNNNNNNNNNNNNNNNNNNNNNNNNNNNNNNNNNNNNNNNNNNNNNNNNNNNNNNNNNNNNNNNNNNNNNNNNNNNNNNNNNNNNNNNNNNNNNNNNNNNNNNNNNNNNNNNNNNNNNNNNNNNNNNNNUUGGAGUAUAUAACUAGCCCUCAACAUGCAAUAAAGAGUCACUCCAAAGUCACUAAUAGCGGAGAACAAACGAAGAGACUAUUGUCGGGUACGAAACCACCACAAAGUUAUUCUUUCUGAUCGUUCUAUUCAAGAGUCUGUAGUAAAAUAACACGAAGCUAUUCUUUCCGGUCAAUCUAUCCUAGAGUUCGUACUAGAAUAACACCUAUAGACACACAUCAACCAAGACCCUAAUGUCAUCUAGAUACUCCAUUGUCACCUCAAGUAUCCAUGGGCAUGAUUAUACGAUAUGCAUCACACAAUCUCAGAAUCAUCUAUUCAACCAACACAUAGAACUUCAAAGAGUCCCCCAAAGUUUCUACCGGAGAGUCAAAACGUGUGCCAACCCAUAUGCAUAGGUUCCCGAUAUCACGAAACCCACAAGUUUAUCGCCAAAAUAUACAUCAACUACUGACAUGAAUAUCCCAUUGUCACCACAGAUAGACACGUGCAACACAUACAUCCAGUGUUCUUAAAGACUCAAUCCAAUAAGAUAACUUCAAAGGGGAAACUCAAUUCAUUACAAGAAGGGAGAGGGGGAAGAACAUCGUAGGAUUCAACUAUAGUAGCAAGCCUGCGGUACCUCGAGAUCAUGACAUCUCAAGAACACGAGAGGGAGAGAGAGAGAGAGAGAGAGAGAGAUCAAACACAUAGCUACUGCUACAUACCCUCAGCCCCGAGGGAGAACUACUCCCUCCUCGUCAUGGAGAUCGUCGGGAUGAUGUAGAUGACCACGGGAGAUGGAUGCCCCCUCCGCCAGGGUGCCGGAACGGGCUCCCGAUUGGUUUUUGGUGGCUACAUAGGCUUGCGGCGGCGGAACUCCUGAUCUAGGUUUAUUUCUGGAGCUUCCUAUAUUUAUAAGACGAGAUGGCAUCGAGAACAAGUCAGGGGGACCCACGAGGGAGUCAUGAGCCCCCCAGGCGCGCCCAGGGGGGGUGGGCGCGCCUCCCUGGCUCGUGGCUUCCUCGGGACUCCUCUCGAGUAUAUUUUUCUUCUGGUAUUUUUGAUAUUUUCCAUAAAAAAUCACGGCGAAAGUUUUAUUCCAUUUGGACUCCGUUUGAUAUUCCUAUCUGAAAAAGGUCAAAAACAAGGAAAAAAACAGGAACUGGCAUUGGGCUCUAGGUCAAUAGNNNNNNNNNNNNNNNNNNNNNNNNNNNNNNNNNNNNNNNNNNNNNNNNNNNNNNNNNNNNNNNNNNNNNNNNNNNNNNNNNNNNNNNNNNNNNNNNNNNNNNNNNNNNNNNNNNNNNNNNNNNNNNNNNNNNNNNNNNNNNNNNNNNNNNNNNNNNNNNNNNNNNNNNNNNNNNNNNNNNNNNNNNNNNNNNNNNNNNNNNNNNNNNNNNNNNNNNNNNNNNNNNNNNNNNNNNNNNNNNNNNNNNNNNNNNNNNNNNNNNNNNNNNNNNNNNNNNNNNNNNNNNNNNNNNNNNNNNNNNNNNNNNNNNNNNNNNNNNNNNNNNNNNNNNNNNNNNNNNNNNNNNNNNNNNNNNNNNNNNNNNNNNNNNNNNNNNNNNNNNNNNNNNNNNNNNNNNNNNNNNNNAUAUAAUAGCAUGGAACGGUCAAAAGUUGUAGAUGCGUUUGAGACGUAUCAGGUAGCACGUGGCUUUUCAGGUGGUGGUUGCCCUCAAAACCUCCACUAUAUAUAGGAGGAAGGGGUAGGUGGGAUGCCUUGGCCCCUCCUCCAAGGAGGAGAGGUUCGGCCGAAGCAAGGGAGAAGAGUCCACCUCCCACNNNNNNNNNNNNNNNNNNNNNNNNNNNNNNNNNNNNNNNNNNNNNNNNNNNNNNNNNNNNNNNNNNNNNNNNNNNNNNNNNNNNNNNNNNNNNNNNNNNNNNNNNNNNNNNNNNNNNNNNNNNNNNNNNNNNNNNNNNNNNNNNNNNNNNNNNNNNNNNNNNNNNNNNNNNNNNNNNNNNNNNNNNNNNNNNNNNNNNNNNNNNNNNNNNNNNNNNNNNNNNNNNNNNNNNNNNNNNNNNNNNNNNNNNNNNNNNNNNNNNNNNNNNNNNNNNNNNNNNNNNNNNNNNNNNNNNNNNNNNNNNNNNNNNNNNNNNNNNNNNNNNNNNNNNNNNNNNNNNNNNNNNNNNNNNNNNNNNNNNNNNNNNNNNNNNNNNNNNNNNNNNNNNNNNNNNNNNNNNNNNNNNNNNNNNNNNNNNNNNNNNNNNNNNNNNGACCAUUCCGGAGCUCCUCGUGAUGUCCAGGAUCUCAUCCGGGACUCCAAAUAACCUUCAGUCACCAAACCUUAAGUGUGCAGACCCUGUGGGUUUGAGAACUAUGUAGACAUGACAGUGACACUCUCCGGUCAAUAACCAAUAGCGGGACCUGGAUGCCCAUAUUUGUUCCUACAUAUUCUAUGAAGAUCUUUGUUGGUUGAACCUCUAUGUCAAGGAUUCACUUAAUCCCGUAUGUUGUUCCCUUUGUCCAUCCGUAUGUUACUUGCCCGAGAUUUGAUCGUUCGUAUCUCCAUACCUAGUUCAAUCUUGUUACCGACAAGUCUCUUUACUCGUUCUGUAAUACAAGAUCCCGUGACUAACUCCUUAGUCACAUUGCUUUCAAGCUUCUUGUGAUGUUGUAUUACCAAGUGGGCUCUAGAGAUACCUCUCCAUCACACGGAGUGACAAAUCCCAGUCUAGAUCCAUGCCAACCCAAUAGACACCCUCGGAGAUACGUGUAGAGCACCUUUAUAGUCACCCAGUUACGUUGUGACGUUUGAUACACACAAGGCAUUCCUCUGGUGUCUGGGAGUUGCAUUAUCUCAUGGUCAUAUGAAUAGAUACUUGACAUGCAUAAAACGGUAGCAGUAAACUGACACGAUCAUAUGAUGCGUUUAUAGUUUGAGUCUUUGUCUGUCACAUCAGUCUCCUAAUGGUGUGAUCCCGUUAUCAAAUGAUAACUCAUGUAUAUGGCUAGGAAACCUUGACCAUCUUUGAGCAACGAGCUAGUCCAUUAGAGGCUUACUAGGGACGGUGUGUUGUCUAUGUAUCCACACAUGUAUUUGUGUUUCCAAUCAAUACAAUUCUAGAAUGGAUAAUAUAUGAUUAUCUUGAACAAGGAAAUAUAAUAAUAACUAUUUUAUUAUUGCCUCUAGGGCACAUUUCCAACAAAAUAUGACAUCAAUACUUCAUAAAUUAUCGAUACAUUGGAGACGUAUCGGCAUCCCUAAGCUUAAUUCCUACUCGUCCUUGAGUAGGUAAAUUAUAAAAGAAGUAAUUUAUGAAGUGUGAAUGCCAUCAUAUUAUAUAAGUUUGAUAAAUGCUAAUUCCAAUCUUUCUAGCAUCAUAAACAUCACCUAUUUCUCAUAAAACACAUCAAGAUAGAGUAGCAAUCAAUUUACAUGUCAUGGUUCAAACAAUGCAUUCUCUUGAAACAUAACAACCUAUGUUCUUAGUCAACAAACAAUUUUAAAGCAUCUUAUUUUCAACAAAGUCUAAGCAAGAGCUCCACAUACUCAAUUAUCAUAUAAUAUUCUAUGAUUGCUAAUAUUCAAAGCCUAUUUUUAGAACAAACAUUAUCCAUCGAACACACAGAAAGAUGGGCUCGUAAUGUUUCGCCUCCCGACGCACUUAUCAAAAACUUAGUUGUCAACAAUAAUGAAUCAUGACCAAAUAUAUUGGACUGGAUAUACUAUGUGUUUGGUUCUUUCCCCACCACAUGAUCCUUGCCAACUAAUAGAUUGAGGUUGGAAUAGGACGUUGACUCAACAUGAAAAGUAAAUAACAUAAAAGUAAAUAGAUUGUCCCUUUGUAGAAGGAAUCAGGCAUUUGUAGAGGCGCGAGAACUCAUUAGCUAAAACAGAGAUGAAUACAUUUUGGGUGGUGUGCCUUUCCUGUCAACAUUACNNNNNNNNNNNNNNNNNNNNNNNNNNNNNNNNNNNNNNNNNNNNNNNNNNNNNNNNNNNNNNNNNNNNNNNNNNNNNNNNNNNNNNNNNNNNNNNNNNNNNNNNNNNNNNNNNNNNNNNNNNNNNNNNNNNNNNNNNNNNNNNNNNNNNNNNNNNNNNNNNNNNNNNNNNNNNNNNNNNNNNNNNNNNNNNNNNNNNNNNNNNNNNNNNNNNNNNNNNNNNNNNNNNNNNNNNNNNNNNNNNNNNNNNNNNNNNNNNNNNNNNNNNNNNNNNNNNNNNNNNNNNNNNNNNNNNNNNNNNNNNNNNNNNNNNNNNNNNNNNNNNNNNNNNNNNNNNNNNNNNNNNNNNNNNNNNNNNNNNUAUAUUUCAGAAAAGUUCAAAUAUGCAUUGGCUAAAGGAUUGUGAGGAGAAACCCCUUGAUGCAAGGAAAGGAAUAGGAUUGGACAAGCUUCAAGCAAGAGGACUCUACAUUUUACAUUUGUGAGAAAUCACUUUUGAGUCCAUAGGAAAGCCAAUACUAUUAAAAGGGGGUGAUGUAUUAUGAUGAAUUGGUUGCUAAAGUGCUUAGAGAUAGCCACCAAAAAUAAUCACAAUUUCUCUCACAAAAAUCUCUAUCCCAAGCCAAAACAGCAAAAUCGAUGCCACCAAGUUUUUCCAUUCGGCCCUACCAAUUUUCCAACAAACAGAUCCUUUACGAAACCCUAAUCUCUCAGUACCACCAACUUUCAUAUCGGUGACACCAAAAGACAGUGACCAACUUUCUGGUAUCUCUAUUUCAAGAAUUGGAAUUUACGGGAUUGAAAUCGUAACCACCAAGAUUUGGAAACUGCCACAGGUCAUCGUAUCAAUACCACCGAGAUUCAUAUAUCGGUCUCAUCGAGAAUUAAAAAAUUGCCACAUUUAGUGCAACUCGGUACCACCAAGAUUCAUUUCAGUGUCAUCGAGUUGGGAAAUAAUGUUGUAACUAUUGGAAUUUGGGGGAUGCGUAUAUAUACCCCUCCACCUUCUCUCAUUCACACAGGAAGCACUCAGAACACACACAUACUUGCGAGAUCCAUUUUUCUGAGAGAGAACCAUCUACUUAUGUGGUGAGAUCAAGAUAUUCCAAUCCAUCCAUUUGAAAUUGAUAUAUAGCCUCGCCAAGUUGCUUUCCACAAAAUCAAUAUCUCAUAUCCAUGCCAAAUAUGUGAGAGAGUGAUUGAGUGUCGAGGAGACUACCUUUUGAAGCACAAGAGCAAGGAGUUCAUUGUUCUACCGCAUCUAUUACCUUUUGGAGGGUGGUGCCUUCUAGAUUAGUUAGGUGUCGCUUGGGAGCCUCCUACAUCGUGUUGUGGAGUUGAACCAAGAAGUUUGUACGGGCAAGGAGAUCGCCUAUUUCGUGAAGAUCAACCGUGAGUGAGGCUAGAUCUGUGUGGAUGUAAGCCAUGGUGGAAUAGACAAAGCCGCUUCUUCCUGGACCCCUUGUGGGUGGAGCCCUCCAUGGACUCUCGUAACCGCUACCCUCCGUGGGUUGAAGUAUCCACUAACGUGGACGUACGAUAGCACCACCUAUCAGAACCAUGCCAAAAAACAUCGUGUCAACCUUUGCGUUUGAUCUUCCUUCCCUACCAUCUACAUUACAUUUGCAUGCCUUUACAUUCCGCUGCUAUACUCUUAGAUAUGCAUGUGUAGGGUGAACUUGACUAGUCAUAAUUGCUAAAAUUGGCCCACAACUAAAAUUGGGAAAAGGUUAAGUUGUUAUUUGGUCAAGUAGUUUAAUCACCCCCUCUAGACAUACUUCGGAUCCUACAAGUGGUAUCAGAUCUUUGGUCUCCAUUGCAUUGGUUUCACAACCUAGGAGAGUAUGGCAUCUAGUGAGGCAAAUUACCACUGUAGAGGUCCAUAUUUUGAUGGUACAAACUUUUCUUGUUGGAAGCACAAGAUGAAAAUGCAUAUUCUUGGUCAUAAUCCUGCCAUUUGGGCAGUUGUUCGUGUUAGUGUGCAAGGUGAUUUCUUUAGAGAAGGAAGAGAACCGGAUCGCGAUGCAACAACAGAAGAAUUGAAGAUGUUGCACUACAAUGCUCAAGACUGCGACAUUCUUUCAACUGCAUGUGUCCUCAAGAAUUCAACAAAAUCAGUCGCCUUGAGAAUGUAAAGGAAAUUUGGGAUACUUUGGUUGAUAUGCACGAAGGUAAUGUAUCUGUCAGGGAAUCUAAGUUGGAUGUGCUACAAAGUCAUCUUGAUAAGUUCAAGAUGAAGGAUGGUGAAGGAGUUGUUGAGAUGUCGUACUCUAGGCUAGCUCUCAUCACAAAUGAGAUUGCCGGCUUAGGAAGUGAAGAGAUGACCUAAAACUUUAUCAUCAAGAAGAUACUUGGAGCCUUGGAUGGAAGAUGCGACACUGUGUGCACAUUGAUCUAGAUGAUGCCAAACUAUAAGGAUCUCAAGCCAAUGGAAGUCACUGAAGGAUUGUUGCUCAUGAAAUGUCAUUCAAAGACAAAGAGGAGUUGCACAACAAGUCAAGCGGUGCUUACAAAGCUUCAAGUGAUACUCUUGUUACUUCAAAUGACAACCUUAUUACCAAUGAAUAGAUAAGCCACAUGGUCAGAAAAUUCAACAAGUUCUACAAGAGUAGAGGCAAAGAGAGAAGCUAAAAUUCCAAAAGUCGUGACCGAAACUGCUACAAUUGUGGAAAGCCCGGACACUAUUCCAAUGAGUGCUCGACUCUCCACAAACGAAGAGAAUAGUCACCUAGAAGAUGAAGCUCAAGAGAUGAGUCACCUAAUAGAGAGAGAAGGAGUAGAGAAGAUCGCUAUGAACGAAGACACUCCCGAAAAAGUAAGGAAUCAAAGAAGAAGGACAAUUACACCAAGAGCAGCUCAAGAAGAAGAUAUCAAGCUCAUGUUGGUGAAUGGGUAUCCGGCUCAGAGUCUGACAACCAAUCCAAGAGAAGAUACCACUCCAACUCCGACUAUAGUUAAGAUGAAGGUGUUGCCGGUCUUGCACUCGUUUCCUCCAACUCCUAUGACAUAUUUGAUUCAUCGAAUGAAGGAGUUGGAAGCUACUUCAAGGCAAAAGCCCCAAGGUAUCACACCCCGAGUAUUUUGACUUUGAUAGUGAUGAGGAUGAUUUGUUAGGAGAAGAGGACUUGCUCUUUGAUAAGACUAGUGAUAACAUUGAAAAUGAACUUGAUAAUAAUCAUGUUAGUCAAGAGAAGUCGAAUCAUGAUCAUAAGAAAGAGAUUGAACGACUAACUAAAGAAUUAAACACUCUUCAGUUAGCUCAUGAAACUACUCUAGAAGAUCAUAGAGAGCUUGCAACAACUCAUGAGAAGCUACACUUUGAGAAGCUAAAUUUAGAGCAAGAGCAUGAGUUUCUGAAAGCAAUCAACGAUGAUAUUUGAAAGAAGAAUUCUUCUUAUCUAGCCGAACGAUUACUCUUGUCUACUUCUGUUCCAUGGGUUAAACAUAAGAACACUAGUAACAAAUGCAAGAAAGUUUCUUCAUCUAGUAACAACAAUGCUAAAGUUAAAUGAAAUGAUGUUGUUGCUAGUAGCUCUCUUGAUUCCACUAAUGAUUCUCUUAGACAAGUUACACUUGGGAAAGAAAAACAAUUAUUGAAAAGAAUUAUAGAGAGAGGUGUUUUCAAGAGUCUUGUUGGAAGUAAGCAAUUCGACGAAAUUGUGCCCAAGGAGGACAUCAGAAGAAACAAGGUGUUGGCUACUUCAAUGCCAACGGAGUUGAAUGGGAAGAAGGUCAAUACCCCAUUGCUACAGCAACAAAAGUCCUUCCUUGGCGCUAGGAAUUCUUCUUGUUACUUCUCUGGUUUGCGUCGGUUUUUCCCUUGAAGAGGAAAGGGUGAUGCAGCACAGGAGCAGUAAGUAUUUCCCUCAAUUUGAGAACCAAGGUAUCGAUCCAGAAGGAGGGUCUCGUCAAGUCCAUAGUACCUGCGCAAACACAAACAAGCUUGCACCCAACGCUUCAAAGAGGUUGUCAAUCCCUUCAAGAUUGUUUGCAAAGUGAGAUAUAAAGGCGGAAAGUGCAACAAAGUAAAAAGUGUAAGGCUGAAAAUAUGGUGUGGAGUAGACCCGGGGGCUAUAGUGUUCACUAGAGGCUUCUCUCAAAAUAGCAAAUAUGACGGUGGGUGAACAAAUUACUGUCGAGCAAUAGAUAGAACGGCACAAAGUCAUGAGUAUAUCUAAGGCAAUGAUCAUACAUAUAGGCAUCACGCCCGAGACAAGUAGACCGAUACUUUCUGCAUCUACUACUAUUACUCCACACAUCGACCGCUAUCCACCAUGCAUCUAGUGUAUUGAGUUCAUGACGAACAGAGUAACGCCUUAAGCAAGAUGAAAUGAUGUAGAGGGAUAAUCUCAAACCAAUGAUGAAAACCCUAUCUUUUUACCCUUGAUGGCAACAACACGAUGCGUGCCUCGCUACCCCUUCUGUCACUGGGUGAGGUCACCGCACGGUAUGAACCCAAAACCAAGCACUUCUCCCAUUGCAAGAAUCAUAGAUCUAGUUGGCCAAACAAAACCCACAACUCGAAGAGAAUUACAAGGAUAUGAAAUCAUGCAUAAGAGAGAUCAGAAGAAACUCAAAUAAGAUUCAUAGAUAAUCUAAUCAUAAAUACACAAUUCAUCGGAUCUCGACAAACACACCGCAAAAGAAGAUUACAUCAGAUAGAUAUCCAUGAAGAUCAUGGAGAACUUUGUAUUGAAGAUCCAAGAGGGAGAAGAAGCCAUCUAGUUACUAGCUAUGGACCCAUAGGUCUAUGGUGAACUACUCACGCAUCAUCAGAGAGGUCAUGGUGUUUAUGAAGAAGCCCUCCGUGUUCGAAUCCCCCCUCCGGCAGGGUACCAGAACGUGCCCCAGAUGGGAUCUUGCGGAGACAGAAGGUUGCGGCGGCGGAAAAGUACUUUCGAUGAUCUCCUGAUUUUUUUGGGAUUUUUAAGGAAUAUAUAGGCGCAACCCUAGGGCAGAGGGCGCUCAGGGGGCCCACAAGCCUGUGGGCCGCGCCUCCCCCCUGGCCGCGGGGUGGGGGCUUGUGGGGCCCCUGAGGCUCCCCUGCCUUGGCUCUCAAGCUUCCCGAUCUUCUUCCGUUACGGAAAAAAUCUUUUCGGCGAUUUUCUUCCGUUUGGACUCUGUUUCAAAAUCUCCUGUGAAAGGGGUCAAAAACAUGGAAAAAAAUAGGAACUGGCACUUGGCAGUGAGUUAAUAAGUUAGUCCCAGAAAAUAUAUAAAAGGCAUGCAAAACAUCCAAAGUUUGACAAGAUAAUAGCAUGAAACCAUCAAAAAUUAUAGAUACGUUGGAGACGUAUCAAGCAUCCCCAAGCUUAACUCCUGCUCGUCCUCGAGUAGCGAAGUGAUAAAGAAUGAAUUUUUGAUGUGGAAUGCUACCUAGCAUAGUUGUCCUUUGCAACUUCUUUCACGUGACAUGAAUGUUCAGAUCCGUAAGAUUCGAAACAAUAGUUUGCUAUUGACAUGAACACAAUAAUACUUCAAGCAAACUAGCAAAGUAAUCAUGAACUUUCAAAAUAACAAGGCCAAGGAAAGUUAUCCCUACAAAAUCAUAUAGUCUGGCUAUGCUCCAUCAUCCUCACACAACUAAUGUAAAUCAUGCACAACCCCGGAAUUGGCCAAGUAACUUUUUUCGCAUUCUUACUUUCUCAAACUUUUUAUAACUAUCAUGCAAUACAUGAGCAUGAGCCAUGGAUAUAGCACUAUAGGUGGAAUAGAGUGUGGUGGUGGUUGUGAGACAAAAAGGAGGAGAUGGUCACAUUGACUCGGCGUAUCAAAAGGCUAUGGAGAUGCCCAUUAAUAGAUAUCAAUGUGAAUGAGUAGGGAUUGCCAUACAAGAGAUGCACUAGAGCGAUAACUAUGUGAAAGCUCAAAAGGAAAACUAGUGGGUAUGCAUCCAACUUGCUUGCUCACGAAGACCUAGGGCAAUUUUGAGGAAGUCCUCAUUGGAAUAUACAAGCCAAGCUAUAUAAUGAAGAUUAUCUUCCCACUAGCAAAUGGUAGUGACAAAUCAAGAAGCUCUCAAUCAUGAAGAACAUGGUGCUAUUAUGAAGCACAAGUGUGGAAAAAGAUAGUAGCAUUGUCCCUUCUCUCUUUUCUCUUUUUUUCAUUUGGGCUCUUAGGCCUCUUUUUUUCUUUUUUUUCUUUUUUGGAUCUUUGGCCUUUUUUUAUUUCCUCACAUGGGACAAUACUCUAACAAUGAUGAUCAUCACACUUUUAUUUACUCACAACUCAAAAAUGGUGAUGACUCUAUAGGAAAUGCCUUCGGCAGUGUACCGAGAUGUGCAAAGAUCUAGCAUGGCGUAUGACGUUGAAACAUCUCGCUAGCUAUCUUACGAUCAUGCAAAGGCAAUAUGAGAGUGAAGACACAAGUCAUGAGACGGAACAGUGGGAGUUGCAUGGCAAUAUUCUCGGAAUGGCUAUGAAAAUGCCAUAGUAGGUAGGUAUGGUGGCUGUUUUGAGGAAGGAAUAUGGUGGGUUUGUGCACCGGCGAGAAUUGCGCAGUACUAGAGAGGCUAGCAAUGGUGGAAGGUGAAAGUGCAUCUAUACCAUGGACUCACAUUAGUCAUGAAGAACUCACAUACUUGUUGCGAAAUUUUUUAUUAGUAAUCGAAAGAAAGUGCUAAAUGCAUACUCCGAGGGGAAGGGUUGGUAGGUGUGAACCAUCGCACGAUCCCGACCUCAACACAAAGGAUGACAAUCAAUAGAUCAAUUAUGCUCCGACUUCCUAACAUAGCGGUUCACCAUACGUGCAUGCUACGGGAAUCACUAACUUUAACACAAGUAUUUCUAGAUUCACAACACCCUACUAACAUAGCUCUUAAUAUUACCAAAUCCACGUCUCAAAACUAAUUGAGAGGAAUCAAAUUUUCUCUUUCUACUCAAUGCACAUGAAGAUGGAGGUUUUGCAUCCUCUUUGGGUACCUAUCACAUUUGGGACUACUUUCAUAGCAUAAGCCAACUACCAAACUACGCACCGCCGUGCUCUAAAGAUAUAAGUGAAGCACUAGAGCAAAAGUAUCUAGCUCAAAAGAUAUAAGUGAAGCACUAUGAGCAAAAGUAUCUAGCUCAAAAGAUAUAAGUGAAGCACAAAGAGCAAAAGUAUCUAGCUCAAAAGAUAUAAGUGAAGCACUAUGAGCAUUCUAGCAAAAUCACGAUGAGUGCAUGUCUCUCUCUCUCAAAAAGGUGUGCAGCAAGGAUGAUUGUGACACAACAAAAGGAAAAGACUCCUAAGAUACAAGACGCUCCAAGCAAAACACAUAUCAUGUGGUGAAUAAAAAUAUAGCUCCAAGUAAUGUUACCGAUGGAUUGAAGACGAAAGAGGGGAUGCCUUCCCGGGGCAUCCCCAAGCUUAGGCUUUUUGGUGUCCUUGAAUUGGCUUGGGAUGCCUUGGGCAUCCCCAAGCUUGAGCUCUUUCCACUCUUUAUCUCUUUGUCCAUGAGAACAUCACCCAAAACUUGAAAACUUCACACACAAAACUUAAACAGAAACUCGUGAUAACAUUAGCACAAGAAAACAAACUACCACUUCUUUUGGUACUGUAGAAAACUUGAAUUCUAUCUAUGUUGGUGUUGUGCUACUGUAUUUUCAAUUUUCCAUGGAUAGUACCCCCCGAUACUAACCAUAGUUUCAUCAAAACAAGCAACCAACUCAACAAAAACAGAAUCUGUCAAAAACAGACCAGUAUAUAGCAAUAUGUGUACUUCGUAUACUUAUGGUACGUCAACAAAUCUGAACAAUUACGACAGCCUGGGCAAAAAGCAUAUCAACCAGCAGCAAAAAGAAUCAACUCAAAAGCUCUUUCUGAAUAAAAAUGAAAAAUCAUCUCCUGAGCGAAAAGUUUCUGUCUUUUUCCAGCAGGAUCAAACAACCAUUAACAAGACUAGUCAUAAAGGUUUUGCUUGGCUCAAACACAAAAACAAACACAAAAACACAAUCACAACAGAAUUGUGAUGGUGUGGACGCAACAAAACAGAAAAAAAGAUAAAUUCAUUGGGUUGCCUCCCAACGAGCGCUAUUGUUUAACGCCCUUAGCUAGGCAUUGAUAAUUCAAUGAUGCUCCCAUAAAAGACAAGAAUUGAAGCACAACAAGAGCAUCACAAAGCAUGUGAAAAUCAAAUCUAAGUAUAGCAUACUUCCUAUGCAUAGGCAUUUUAUAGGAAAACAGAUUGUCAAGACAACCAAUAGUUACCAUAUGCAAGGAAGAAGAAAGAGACAAUAGCAAUUUCAACAUAACGAGAGGUGAUUUAGUGAUAUGAAAGUUUCUACCAUAAUAUUUUCCUCUCUCAUAAUAAUUACAUGUGGGAUCAUAUUCUAAUUCAACAAUGUAACUAUCACAUAGGAUAUUCUUUUCAUGAUCCACAUGCAUGCAAAGUUGACGCUCUUCAAAAAUAGUGGGAUUAUCAUGAACUAAAUUCAUGACUUCUCCAAACCCACAUUUAAUAAUGUUGCAAAUAUCAUAUCAAUCAUGAGGCUUAAUCAAAUUUUCAAGAUCAUAAAAAAAAUCAUCGCCCCACUCAUGAUCAUUACAACAAGUAGUGGACAUAGCAAAACUAGCAUCCCCAAGCUUAGGGUUUUGCAUAUUUUUAGCAUGAUUGUCACUAAUAGAAUUUAUAGUGAAACCAUUGCAAUCAUGCCUUUCAUCCAAGGAGCCCUCGUGAAUCACUUCAUAAAUUUCUUCCUCACAAUUUCUAGAUUCACACAUCUCAAGCAAAACUCCAUAAAGAUAGUCAAGUACACUCAACUCACUAGCAAUUGGAUCAACAUAAUUGGAUCUCUUAAAGAGAUUAGCAAGUGGAUGAGGAUCCAUAUCGCUAGAUUUUCAGCAAGCAAAGAUGCAAGCAUAUUGAAGGCACAUGGCACACAAGCGAACAGAAAGCAAGCGAGAGAAAAGGGUGAACGAAAAAGGCAAACGAAAUAAGGCAAAGAUUUUUUUUUUUGUAAAUUUUUGUUUUUCAGAAGUGGGGGAGAGGAAAACGAGAGGCAAAAAAAAGUAAAUGCAAGAGAUGAAUUUGCGACACUUACUUGGAUGAGUUCUUGACUUGAUCCUCCUCCCCGGCAACGGCUCCAGAAAUUCUACUGCUACGGCAAGAAAAGUCCUUCCUUGGCGCUAGGAAUUCUUCUUGUUACUUCUCUGGUUUGCGUCGGUUUUUCCCUUGAAGAGGAAAGGGUGAUGCAGCACAGGAGCAGUAAGUAUUUCCCUUAGUUUGAGAACCAAGGUAUCGAUCCAGACGGAGGGUCUCGUCAAGUCCAGAGUACCUGCGCAAACACAAACAAGCUUGCACCCAACGCUUCAAAGGGGUUGUCAAUCCCUUCAAGAUUUUUUGCAAAGUGAGAUCUGAAGGCGGAAAGUGCAACGAAGUAAAAAAAUGUAAGGCUGAAAAUAUGGUGUGGAGUAGACCCGGGGGCCAUAGUGUUCACUAGAGGCUUCUCUCAAAAUAGCAAAUAUCACCGUGGGUGAACAAAUUACUGUCGAGCAAUUGAUAGAACCACGCAAACUCAUGACGAUAUCUAAGGCAAUGAUCAUACAUAUAGGCAUCACGUCCGAGACAAGUAGACCGAUACUUUCUGCAUCUACUACUAUUACUCCACACAUCGACCGCUAUCCAGCAUGCAUCUAGUGUAUUGAGUUCUUGACGAACAGAGUAACGCCUUAAGCAAGAUGACAUGAUGUAGAGGGAUAAUAUCAAACCAAUGAUGAAAACCCCAUCUUUUUACCCUUGAUGGCAACAACACGAUGCAUGCCUCGUUACCCCUUCUGUCACUGGGUGAGGUCACCGCACGGUAUGAACCCAAAACCAAGCACUUCUCCCAUUGCAAGAAUCAUAGAUCUAGUUGGCCAGACAAAACCCACAAUUCGAAGAGAAUUACAAGGAUAUAAAAUCAUGCAUAAGAGAGAUCAGAAGAAACUCAAAUAGGAUUCAUAGAUAAUCUGAUCAUAAAUCUACAAUUCAUCAGAUCUCGACAAACACACCGCAAAAGAAGAUUACAUCGGAUAGAUCUCCAUGAAGAUCAUGGAGAACUUUGUAUUGAAGAUCCAAGAGAGAGAAAAAGCCAUCUAGUUACUAGCUAUGGACCCGUAGGUCUAUGGUGAACUACUCACGCAUCAUCGGAGAGGUCAUGGUGUUGAUGAAGAAGCCCUCCGUGUCCGAAUCCCCCCUCCGGCAGGGCACCAGAACGUGCCCCAGAUGGGAUCUUGCGGAGACAAAAGCUUGCGGCGGCGGAAAAGUACUUUCGAUGAUCUCUUGAUUUUUUUGGGAUUUUUAGGGAAUAUAUAGGCGCAACCCCUAGGGCAGAGGGCGCUCAGGGGGCCCACAAGCCAGUGUGUCGUGGCCUCCCCUGGCCGCGGGGUGGGGUCUUGUGGGGCCCCUGAGGCUCCCCUGCCUUGGCUCUCAAGCUUCCCGAUCUUCUUCCCUUACGGAAAAAAUCUUUUCGGGGAUUUUCUUCCGUUUGGACUCUGUUUCAAAAUCUCCUCUGGAGGGGGUCAAAACAUGGAAAAAAACAGGAACUGGCACUUGGCACUGAGUUAAUAAGUUAGUCCCAGAAAAUAUAUAAAAGGCAUGCAAAACAUCCAAAGUUUGACAAGAUAAUAGCAUGAAACCAUCGAAAAUUAUAGAUACGUUGGAGACGUAUCACCCAUCCCAAAGUUCGUUCCACAAAAGGAGAAGUAUGACCCCACUCGCCCCAAGGGAACAAGCUCUCUGAUAUGUAUCCAUCGUAUCUACUUUCCCUAAUGCUUUCUCUCUUGUUUUGGACUCUAAUUUGCAUGAUUUGUAUGAAACUAACCCGGACUAACAUUGUUUUCAACGGAACUACCAUGGUGUUGUUUUUGUGCAGGAAUAAAAGUUCUCAGAAUGGAACGAAACUUUUUGGAUAUUUUUAUGGAAUAAAAGAUAAUUUCUGGAACCAAGAUCCACUCGAGGGGAGGCCACAGUAGCCCACUAGACAUCAGGGCCUGGUGUCUAGACCUGGCGCGCCCUGAUGUCUAGUGGGACCAACUUGGCUCCGCUGACCCUAAUUCCAGCGCAAUAAAGUCCUAUUUUCUGAGAGAAAAAGUAAGAGAGGAAGUUUCAUCAUGUUUCACGAUAUGGAGCCGUCUCCACUUCGUCUUCUUCAUCGGGAGGCCAAAUCUUGGGUCCGUUUGGGGCUGUGGAGAGGGGAAUCUUCGGUCUUCGUCACCAUCAACCCUCCUCCAUCGCCAAUUCCAUGAUGAUCUCCACCGAAGUGAGUAAUCCCUUCAUAGGCUUGCUGGUCGGGAAGAGGUGGAUGAGAUUCAUCAUGUAAUUGAGUUAGUUUUGUUAGUGCUUGAUCCCUAGUAUCCACUAUGUUCGGAGAUAGUUGUUGCUAUGACUUUGCAAUGCUUAAUGCUUGUCACUAGGGCCCGAGUGCCAUGAUUUCAGAUCUGAACCAUUUAUGUUUUCAUCAUUAUAUCUAUGUUCUUGAUACGAUCUUGCAAGUUAUAUGCACCUACUACGUGUUAGGAUCCGCAUACCCCAAAGUGACAAUAAUUGGGAUUCUUUUCGGUGAUUGCGGUCAUAUGAGGAGUUCAUGUAUUCACUAUGUGUUAAUGCUUUGUUUCGGUUAUCUAUUAAAAGGAGGCCUUAAUAUCCCGUAGUUUCUUUAUGGACCCCUCUGCCACGGGAGGGUAGGAUAAAAGAUGCCAUGCAAGUUCUUUUCCAUAAGCACGUAUGACGAUUUACGGAAUACAUGUCUACAUUAUAUCGAUGAACGGGAACUAGUUCUGUGUCGCCCUAUGUUGUGACUAUUAUAUGAUGAAUAUUAUCGAGCAAUAUCACCGAUCCAUUUCCUACGAGUUUUCCACAUAUUGUGCUUGCUAACUUACUACUAUUGCUACUGCUGUUACAACUGCUACAAAACUUCUAUCAAUGUUGCCGGUACUGCUGCUACUAUUAGCACUGCUAUCAAAACUAUCAUAUUACUGUGCUACUGAUCACUAUGGUGCAGGUACUAAAUCUCUAAGUGUGGUUGAAUUGACAACUCAGCUGCUAAUACCUACAAAUAUUCUUUGACUCCCCUUGUGUCAAAUCUAUAAAUUUGGGUUGAAUACUCUACCCUUGAAAACUAUCGCGAUCCCAUAUACUUGUGGGUUAUCAAGAACGUUUUCUGGUACUGUUCCGGGGGUCCACCGGGAGAGCUUUGCCUUUUAGUUGCUCUCAUUUGGUUUUACAAAACUUUUGGUCUUUUGGAUGACUUAAACUUUCAUGUUUGAUCAUACGAUUUGCACUACAACAGGACAGACCUUUGGUAACACCGUCUUGUGUUACUACAGGCCCAAAAGUGUGUUACUAGGUGAGAGAGUAACACAUUUUGAAAUGUGUUCCAUUAUCCCGUGUUACUAAGUGAUGUCAACUGUUACACAUAGUAAUUGUUACCAUAUGUUAAAAAUAGUGUUACAAUUAAAGUAUAGUAACAUGCAUAUUAUGUGUUACUAAACACACUCGUAACACAUUUUUAUAGUUAUAGUAACACCCAGAGUAACACAUUUGCACAGACGUACAACAUUGGUGGUAACAUGUUUUCUAACUCUAGUAACACAAGCGGUACACAUCAACUAAUAAUAUAAUAUCGGCCUAUUGUAACACUAUGAUUUAUAGUUGUUAAGUACUGGAGUAACAAUAUUUUGUAACUAUAGUAACACUAUUAUAUCAAUAUGGUAACAUAAUUGGUGUAUUUUUUAUUAUUAAUCACAAAAUUUAGUACCCCUUUUAUGGAAUAUAAAUUUAUUUAAUAAAAUUGAUGCAAUUGCGCAAGUGGUUGACCAUUUUAUCAUUAUGCCGGCAACAUAAAAAUGGUAUAGAAAUAGAAGCACAACACACAUAGAAAUCCCCAAUAUGAAGGUACUAAUUAAGAAUAUACAAGUGUAUGAUACAUAUGUAUUACAAUAAAGAUAUCAUUCAUAUCAUUUUUAGCAUAGAAAACACAACUAUGAAGAAUAUUACACCAUAGAAUUUGCAUCAACUGGACGAAAGAAAAAGAACUUUUGGAUUAUAUUACAUUUUUCAAUCUAUGAAUGUAAACUACGACUAUUGGUAGAUAAAAUCUUCAGAUUUUAUUUGCUUCCGCAUCCAAGAAUUCAAUUGUAACUCAAUUAUCCUUCUCUCGAAUCUGUAACUCAAUUACUUAAAGUCUGUUUUGUUGUAGUGUUGAUUGAUGAUGCUACCACGUUAUACCUUUGAGCUAUCUACAUGAUGAUCAUUCACUUAUUUGUUUGGUGUUAUGUGCAUUACUAUUCAUUCAUAUCAUUUAUGCGCACCACCAAGAUGUAUGUGACAUGGAAGAGUGACCCAUUAUCCUAAUCGAUUGUGCAUUUUCAUUCAAACACAAAUUUAAAAUAAUGCACAAAUUUAGGGGGAGCUUUUGCUUUUCACAUACUUCUCAAAGCGACGAUGCUAAUCAUUGGUUAUAUCUUUAGUCAAAUCUUUAAUCUAUACGUUGUCAUCAAUUACCAAAAAGAGGGAGAUUGAAAGCACAAUUGCUCCCUAAGGUGGUUUUGGUAAUUAAUAACAACAUAUGUAUCAUUGAACUAAUGAUCUUAUCCUAGUAUAUUUUAGAAAAGCUCAAAGAUGCAUUGGCUAAAGGAUUGUGAGGAGGAACCCCUUGAUGCAAGCAAAGGAAUAGGAUUGUCCAAGCUUCAAGCAAGAGAACUCUACAUUUUACAUUUGUGAGAAAUCACUUUUGAGUCCAUAGGAAAGCCAAUACUAUUAAAAGGUAGUGGGGUAUUAUGAUGAAUUGGUUCCUCAAGUGCUUAGAGAUAGACACCAAAAAUACUCAACAUUUCUCUCACAAAAAACUUUGUCCUAGGCCAAAACAGCAAAAUCAGUGCCACCAAUUUUUCCCAUUCGCCCCUACCAAUUUUCGAACACAUAGAUCCCUUGCCAAACCCUAAUCUCUCGAUACCACCAACUUUCAUAUCGGUGCCACCGAAAGACAGUGACCAACUUUCUGGUAUCUCUAUAUCAAGAAUCUUAAUUUCCGAGAUUGAAAUUGGUACCACCGAAAUUUGGAAACUGCCCUAGGUCAUCGUAUCGGUACCACAGAGAUUCAUAUAUCCGUCUCACCGAGAAUUCAAAAGUUGCCACAUUUAGUGCAACUCGGUACCACCAAGAUUCAUUUCGGUGUCAUUGAGUUGAGCAAUAAUGUUGUCAGUUGGAUUUUGGGGGCUACCUAUAUAUACCCCUCCACCUCCUGUCAUUGGGAGAGGAAGCACUCAGAACACACACAUACUUGCUAGAUCCAUUUUUGUGAGAGAGAGCCACCUACUCAUGUGUUGAGAUCAAGAUAUUCCAAUCCAUCCAUUUUAAACUUGAUAUCUAGCCUCUCCUAGUUGCUUUCCACAAAAUCAAUAUCUCCUAGCCAUGCCAAAUCUGUGAGAGAGUGAUUCAGUGUUGAGGAGACUCUCUUUCGAAUCACAAGAGCAAGGAGUUCAUCGUUCUACCGCAUGUAUUACCUUUUGGAGGGUGGUGCCUCCUAGAUUGGUUAGCUGUCGCUUGGGAACCUUGAUACGUCUCCAAUGUAUCUAUAAUUUUUUAUUGUUACAUGUUGUUAUAUUAUCAUUCUUGGAGGUUUUAUGAUUAUUUUAUAGCAACUUUAUAUCAUUUUUUGGGGUUAACCUAUUGACAUAGUGCCUAGUGCGAGUUGCUGUAUUUUGUUGUUUUUCCUUCACAGAAAAUCAAUAUCAGAUGAAGUCCAGAUGCCACGAAACUUUACAAAGAAUUUUUUUUGGACAAGAAGGAAACUUGGGCGCCAAGAAGGAGCACCAGAGGAGGCCCAGGCGGCCCACUAGACACCAGGGCGCAUCGAGGGCCCUUGGCGUGGACUGGUGCUUAGUGGGGCCUGAUGUCUACUACGCAACCUUCUCCUUGUAGACGUUGUUGGGCCUCCAAGUGCAGAGGUUUGUAGGAUAGUAGCAAUUUUACCUCAAGUGGGUGACCUAAGGUUUAUCAAUCCGUGGGAGGCAUAGGAUGAAGAUGGUCUCUCUCAAGCAACCAUGCAACCAAAUAACAAAGAGUCUCUUGUGUCCCCAACACACCCAAUACAAUGGUAAAUUGUAUAGGUGCACUAGUUCGGCGAAGAGAUGGUGAUACAAGUGCAAUCUGGAGGGUAGAUAUAGGUUUUUGUAAUCUAAAAUUACAAAAAAAGCAAAGUAACUAAUAGUAAAAGCGAGCACGAACGGUAUUGCAAUGCGUGGAAACAAGGCCUAGAGUUCAUACAUUCACUAGUGAAGUUCUCUCAGCAAUGAUAACAUAAUUGGAUCAUAUAACUAGCCCUCAACGUGCAACAAAGAGUCACUCCAAAGUCACUAAUAGCAGAGAACAAACGAAGAGAUUAUUGUCGGGUACGAAACCACAACAAAGUUAUUCUUUCUGAUCAAUCUAUUCAAGAGUCUGUAGUAAAAUAACACGAAGUUAUUCUUUUCGUUCGAUCCAUCAUAGAGUUCGUACUAGAAUAACACCUUAAGACACAUAUCAACCAGGACCCUAAUGUCACCUAGAUACUCCAUUGUCACCUCAAGUAUCUGUGGGCAUGAUUAUACGAUAUGCAUCACACAAUCUCAGAAUCAUCUAUUCAACCAACACAUAGAACUUCAAAGAGUGCCCCAAAGUUUCUACCGGAGAGUCAAAACGUGUGCCAACCCAUAUGCAUAGGUUCCCGAUGUCACGAAACCCGCAAGUUGAUCACCAAAACAUACAUCAAGUACUCACAUGAAUAUCCCAUUGUCACCACAGAUAGACACGUGCAAGACAUACAUCAAGUGUUCUUAAAGACACAAUCCGAUAAGAUAACUCCAAAGGGAAAACUCAAUUCAUUACAAGAAGGGAGAGGGGAAGAAUAUCAUAAGAUCCAACUAUAGUAGCAAAGCCCGCGGUACAUCGAGAUCUAGACAUCUCAAGAACACGAGAGAGAGAGAGAUCAAACACAUAGCUACUGGUACAUACCCUCAGCCCCGAGGGUGAACUACUCCCUCCUCGUCAUGGAGAUCGCCGGGAUGAUGAAGAUGGCCACCGGAGAUGGAUUCCCCCUCUGGCACAGUGCCGGAACGGGCUCCAGAUUGGUUUUUGGUGGCUACAGAGGCUUGCGGCGGCGGAACUCCCGAUCUGGGUCUAUUUUUGGGGGGUUUCUGUAUUUAUAGGAAUUUAUGGCGGUGGAAUUACGUCAGUUGGGACCACGAGGAGGUCACAAGCCUGGUAGGUGCGGCCUAGCACGGUGACGCGCCUCCUGGGCUUGUGACUCCCUCGUGGCUCUUCUGGCCUUCUUCCAAAGCUUCGGGGUCUCUUUUGGUCCAAAAAAAAUCAUCGCGAAAGUUUUAUUCCAUUUGGACUCCGUUCUGAAAAAGGUCAAAAACUCGGAAAAGCAGAAACUGGCACUAGGCAGUGAGUAAUAGGUUAGUCCCAAAAAUGAUAUAAAAUGGCAUAUUCAUGCAUAUGAAACAUCCAAAGUUGACAAGAUAAUAGCAUGGAACCAUCAAAAAUUAUAGAUACGUUGGAGACGUAUCAAGCAUCCCCAAUCUUAACUCCUGCUCGUCCUCGAGUAGGGAAGUGAUAAAGACCGAAUUUUUGAUGUGGAAUGCUACCUAACAUAUUUGUCCUUUGUAACUUCUUUCUUGUGGCAUGAAUGUUCAGAUCCGUAAGAUUCAAAACAAUAGUUUACUAUUGACAUGAAAACAAUAAUACUUCAAGCAUACUAGCAAAGUAAUCAUGAACUUUUGAACUAACCAGGCCAAAGAAAGUUAUCCCUACAAAAUCAUAUAGUCUGGCUAUGCUCCACCAUCCCCACACAACGAAUAUAAAUCAUGCACAACCCUGGUAUUGUCCAAGUAAUUGUUUUUGCACUCUUACUUUCUCAAACUUUUUCAACACGCAAUACAUGAGCGUGGGCCAUGGAUAUAGCACUAUAGGUGGAAUAGAGUGUGGUGGAGGUUGUGAGGCAAAAAGGAGGAGAUGGUCACAUUGACUUUGCGUAUUAAUGGGCUAUGGAGAUGCCCAUCAAUAGAUAUCAAUGUGAACGAGUAGGGAUUGCCAUGCAGUGGAUGCACGAGAGCUAUAAGUGUGUGAAAGCUCAAAAGGAAAACUAGUGGGUAUGCACCCAACUUGCUUGCUCACGAAGACCUAGGGCAAUUUUGAGGAAGCCCGUCAUUGGAAUAUACAAGCCAAGUUAUAUAAUGAAAAUUCCCACUAGUAUAUGGAAGUGUCAAAACAAGAGACUCUCUAUCAUGAAGAACAUGGUGCUAUUUUCAAGCACAAGUGUGGAAAAAGAUAGUAGCAUUAUCACUUCUCUCUUUUUCUCCCAUUUUUUUGUUUGGGCUCUUUGGCCUCUUUUCAUUUUUUUGGUGGCCAUCUUUGGCCUCUCUUUUUUCCUCACAUGGGACAAUGUUAUAAUAAUGAUGAUCAUAACACUUUUAUUUACUCACAACUCCUAGAACAAUGAUGACUCUAUAGGAAAUGCAUCAGGUAGUGUACCGGGAUGUGCAACGAUCUAGCUUAGCGUAUGACGUUGAAACAUCUCGCAAGCUAUCUUAUGAUCAUGCAAUGGCAAUAUGAAAGUGACGGCACAUGUCAUGAGACGGAACGGUGGGAGUUGCAUGGCAAUAUAUCUCAGAAUGGCUAUGAAAAUGGCAUAAUAGGUAGGUAUGGUAGCUGUUUUGAGGAAGGUGUAUGGUGGGUUUGCGCACCGGCGAAAGUUGCGCGGUACUAGAGAGGCUAGCAAUGGUGGAAGGUAAAAGUGCAUCUAUACCAUGGGCUCACAUUAUUCAUGAAGAACGCAUAUACUUAUUGCGAAAGUUUUUAUUAGUAAUCGAAACAAAGUGCUAAACGCAUACUCCUAGGGGAAGGGUUGGUAGGUGUUAACCAUCGCGCGAUCCCGACCGCCACGCAAAGGAUGACAAUAAAUAAAUAAAUCAUGCUCCGACUUCCUAACAUAGCGGUUCACCAUACGUGCAUGCUACGGGAAUAACUAACCUCAACAGAAGUAUUUCUAGAUUCACAACACCCUACUAACAUGACUCUAAUAUUACCAUAUCCAUAUCUCAAAACUAAUUGUGAGUAAUCAAACUUCUCUUACUAAUCAAUGCACUUGAAUAUGGAAGUUUUUAUUAUAUCCUCUUUGGAUGCCUAUCAUAUUUAGGACUAAUUUCAUAGCACACGCCAAUUACCAUGCUGUUUAAGACUCUCAAAAUGAUAUAAGUGAAGCAUGAGAGUAAAAGACAAACUACUCCAAAAGAUAUAAGUGAACAUCAAUGAGUAGUUGAAUAAUUAUUUGGCUAAGUAAAGACUCUCCCAUCUAAGAAUUUCAGAUCCUAAGUACCUCAUUCAAACAAAAUAAAAUGACGCUCCAAGCAAAACACAUAUCAUGUGGUGAAUAAAAAUAUCGCCCCAAGUAAAGUUACCGAUGGAUUAAAGACGAAAGAGGGGAUGCCUUCCCGGGGCAUCCCCAAGCUUAGGCUCUUGGGUGUCCUUGAAUAUAGAUUUGGGGUGCCUUGGGCAUCCCCAAUCUUAGGCUCUUGCCACUCCUUGUUCCAUAGUCCAUCGAAACUCUACCCAAAACUUGAAAACUUCACAACACAAAACUUAACGGAACUUCGUGAGAUGGGUUAGUAUGAUAACGAGCAAAUCAAUCACUUGGGUACUGUCAAAACAAGACUCAUAAUUAUUUUCACACAACUCCUACUGUAUCUUACUAUUUCCACAAUUUAUAUUACUCAAUAUAAUCUAUGGAAGCACCAAAACAUGCAAACUAUGCAUUGAAAACAGAAUCUGUCAAAAACAGAACAGUCUGUAAUGAUCUGAACGCUAACCAUACUUCUGUACCUCCAAAAAUUCUGAAACAAUUAUUAAAAUUAUGUAAAUUUCUAUAUCAAUCAGCAUCAAAAAGAAUCAACCUAAAAUCACUCUCUGGAUAGAAAUUAUAAAUGAUUUCGCGAGCGCAAAGUUUCUGUCUUUUUGAGCAUGAUCAAACAACUAUCACUCAAACUAAUCAUAAAGGCUUUACUUGGCACUUUAUUGAAACUAAGGCAAUAAAACAUGAUUAAUACAGUAUCUUAAUCAUGUGAACACACAAAAACAGUAAGGAUACAUAUUGGGUUGUCUCCCAACAAGCACUUUUCUUUAAUGCCUUUCAAGCUAGGGAUGAUGAUUUCAAUGAUGCUCACAUAAAAGAUAAGGAUUGAAACAUAAUGGAAGCAUCAUGGAGCAUAUGACUAGCACAUUUAAGUCUAACCCACUUCCUAUGCAUAGUGAUUUUGUGAACAAACAACUUAUUGGAGCAAGAAUCAUCUAGCAUAGGAAGGCAAAACAAGCAUAGCUUCAAAAAUUUCAACACAUAGAGGGGAAACUUGAUAUUAUUGCAAUACGUAGAAGCAUAUGAUCCUCUCUCAUAAUAAUUUUCAGUAGCAUCAUGAAUGAAUUCAACAAUAUAACCAGCACCUACAGCAUUCUUUUCAUGAUCUACAAGCAUAGAAAUUUUACUACUCUCCACAAUAGCAAAUUUAUUCUCACUAAUAGUAGUGGGAGUAUCGUAGAAGACUUGAACACUACGAAUUGUUUCCACAUUAAAAGAGUAAUGUUCGGUAAAAGGAUACUCAAGAGUAUGACAAGUUUUAUCAUCCCUCUUCUUUAUAGCAUAAGUAUCAUCACAAUAAUCAUCAUAGAUAGGGUGCAUGCUUUCAUCAUAAUAAUUUUGAUCAUUCAAAGUGGGGGAACUAAAAAUAUCAUCUUCAUCAAACAUAGCAUCCCCAAGCUUGUGGCUUUUCAUAUCAUUAGUAUCAUGGGUAUUCAAAGAAUUCAUACUAACAACAUUGCAAUCAUGCUCAUCAUUCACAUAUUUUAUGCCAAGCAUUCUAUCUAAUUCUUCUUCUAGCACUUGAGCACAAUUUUCCUUCCCAUCAUUUUCACGAAAGACAUUGAAAAGACGAAGCAUAUGAGGCAACCUUAAUUCCAUUUUUUGUAGUUUUCUUUUAUAGGCCAAACUAGUGAUAAAACAAGAAACUAAAAGAUUCGAUUGCAAGAUCUAAAGAUAUACCUUCAAGCGCUAACCUCCCCGUCAACGGCGCCAGAAAAUAGUUUGAUGUCUACUACGCAACCUUCUCCUUGUAGACAUUGUUGGGCCUCCAAGUGCACAGGUUUGUAGGACAGUAACAAUUUUCCCUCAAGUGGGUGCCUAAGGUUUAUCAAUCCGUGGGAGGCGUAGGAUGAAGAUGGUCUCUCUCAAGCAACCCUGCAACCAAAUAACAAAGAGUCUCUUGUGUCCCCAACACACCCAAUACAAUGGUAAAUUGUAUAGGUGCACUAGUUCGGCGAAGAAAUCGCGAUACAAGUGCAAUAUGGAGGGUAGAUAUAGGUUUUUGUAGUCUGAAAUUACAAAAACAGCAAGGUAACUAAUAGUAAAAGCGAGCACGAACGAUAUUGCAAUGCGUGGAAACAAGGCCUAGGGUUCAUACUUUCACUAGUGAAGUUCUCUCAACAAUGAUAACAUAAUUGGAUCAUAUAACUAGCCCUCAACGUGCAACAAAGAGUCACUCCAAAGUCACUGAUAGCAGAGAACAAACGAAGAGAUUAUUGUCGGGUACGAAACCACAACAAAGUUAUUCUUUCUGAUCAAUCUAUUCAAGAGUCUAUAGUAAAAUAACACGAAGUUAUUCUUUUCGUUCGAUCCAUCAUAGAGUUCGUACUAGAAUAACACCUUAAGACACAUAUCAACCAAGACUCUAAUGUCACCUAGAUACUCCAUUGUCACCUCAAGUAUCCGUGGGCAUGAUUAUACGAUAUACAUCACACAAUCUCAGAAUCAUCUAUUCAACCAACACAUAGAACUUCAAAGAGUGCCCCAAAGUUUCUACCAGAGAGUCAAAACGUGUGCCAACCCAUAUGCAUAGGUUCCCGAUGUCACGAAACCCACAAGUUGAUCACCAAAACAUACAUCAAGUACUCACAUGAAUAUCCCAUUAUCACCACAGAUAGACACGUGCAAGACAUACAUCAAGUGUUCUUAAAGACUCAAUCCGAUAAGAUAAACUCCAAAGGGAAAACUCAAUUCAUUACAAGAAGGGAGAGGGGGAAGAACAUCAUAAGAUCCAACUAUAGUAGCAAAGCCCGCGGUACAUCGAGAUCAAGACAUCUCAAGAACAUGAGAGAGAGAGAGAGAGAGAGAGAUCAAACACAUAGCUACUGGUACAUACCCUCAGCCCCGAGGGUGAACUACUCCCUCCUCGUCAUGGAGAUCGCCGGGAUGAUGAAGAUGGCCACCGGAGAUGGAUUCCCCCUCCGGCAGGGUGCCGGAACAGGCUCCAGAUUGGUUUUUGGUGGCUACAGAGUCUUGCGGCGGCGGAGCUCCCAAUCUAGGUCUCUUUUUGGGGGUUUAUGUAUUUAUAGGAAUUUAUGGCGGUGGAAUUACGUAGGUUGGGCCCACGAGGUGGUCACAAGCCUGGUAGGUGCGGCCUAGGGGGGGGGUUGCGCCUCCUGGGCUUGUGACUCCCUCGUGGCUCUUCUGGCCUUCUUCCAAAACUUCGAGGGUCUCUUUUGGUCCCAAAAAAAUCAUCGCGAAAGUUUUAUUCCAUUUGGACUCCGUUCUGAAAAAGGUCAAAAACUCGGAAAAUCACAAACUAGCACUAGGCACUGAGUUAAUAGGUUAGUCCCAAAAAUGAUAUAAAAUGGCAUAUUCAUGCAUAUAAAACAUCCAAAGUUGACAAGAUAAUAGCAUGGAACCAUCAAAAAUUAUAGAUACGUUGGAGACGUAUCAGGGCCCUCGGGCGUAUCCUCCACCGCCUUUGAGCUCUAUAAAUGCCCCAAUUUUCAGAAAACCAUAGAGGAGUCGAUGAAAAAUCGUUUCAGCCGACGCAAGUUCCAGAAACCACGAAAUCCAAUCUAGAACCUAUUCCGGAGAGGAACACGAUCAUGGAGGGGUUCAUGAUCCUCACUAGUGGUCCUCCGCUGAUAUGUGAGUAGUUCAUAUCAAACCUAUGGGUCCGUCGGCAGUAGCUAGAUGGCUUUCUCUCUCAUUUUGUUUCUCAAUACAAUGGUCUCUUUCUUUUGCCGUGUGUUUGUUGCGAUCCGAUGAAUUGUGAGUUUAUGAUUAGAUCUAUGAAAUCAUAUUAAUGCUUGAUUAUUAUAGCCUCGUAUUUCUUCUCCGAUAUUUGGUUUUUGUCUGGCCAACUUGAUUUUUUAUCUUGCAAUGGCAGGAGGUGCUUUGUGAUGGGUUCGAUCUUGCGGUGCUCAGUCUCAAUGACAGAAAGAGACAUGACAUGCAUGUAUCAUUGCUAUCAAGGAUAAAACGAUGGGUUCUAUUCCUACAUGAAUAGAUCUUGUCUACAUCAUGUCAUCGUUCUUAACGCAUAACUCCGUUUCUCCAUGAACUCAAUACACUAGAUGCAUGUUGGAUAGGGGUCGAUGUGUGGAGUAAUAGAAGUAGAUGCACGCAAAAGUCAGUCUACUUGUCUUGGACGUGAUGCCUAUAUACAUGAUCAUUGUCUUGAAUAACGUCAUAAUUAUUCGCUCUUCUAUUAAUUUCCGAACAGUAAUUUGUCUACCCACCGUUUGCUAUUUUCUUGAGAGAAGCCACUAGUGAAACCUACGGGCCUCGGGUCUAGUUCACAUCAUCUAUUUGCAAUCUCUACUUUGCUAUUUGCGUUUCUAUUUUAUUUUAUCUUUUAUUUUCAUAUCUAUAUUAUCAAAAAUACCAAAAAUACCUUGUUGUGUCUUAUUUGCUAUCACUUUUAUUUGCAUCUAUCAAUCUAUACUUAAUUUACCCAUGAGGGAUUGACAACCCCUCCACGCGUUGGGUUGCGAGGAUUUUUUAUUUAUGUGCAGGUGCCGCUUACAUAGUCUUGUGGAUCUUCCUACUGGAUUGAUACCUUGGUUUCAUAACUGAGGGAAAUACUUGAUGUCGUUGUGCUACAUCAUCCUUUAAGCUUGGAGGGAAACCAACGAAAUCAGCGAGGAGUCACCACACUGUUGUCGUGCAUGCACGUGCAGCCAAUGGAACAUCGUCAUAUGAAUGUUAUUAAAUCGCACGCAGCUUUACCAACCAACACACCCCGAUUCAGUGUGAAAAACACAUAGGGCUCCGCUCGGCAAAGUAGGUCAUUGAACGUGUGGACGUGGAGACCGUGCCAUGAUGAAUGCAAUGGAACGGGUCCGUGGCCACUUAAACACCUUCCUUCUACAUCUCUCUCAACUCGAUCUCACAUCCAUCUGCGCCCCCUUCUACUUCACCAAUAAACCAAAGCAGAGAAAAUGCAGUUCACCGACCAAACCUACCGUCUGCAGUCACCAUGCGGGAGAGGUAGUACCCCGACGGGGUCAGCCGGGUGUGGGCCAUAUCAAUGUGGAGGCGCCCGAUCGAGCUGGCGAACGUCUUCCUCAAUGUCGGUUGUCGCCACCUCCCAUGCGGCUCUCCAAGGAUGUUCCGCGUCGAACAGGUUCAUGCCAACGGCCUUGUGAUUGGCCUCCUUGCUCACUUCACCAACCGCUUGGACGCCUACUUCCUCCUCGGCAAAGUGUUCUGGUGUGGGUGUGAGUUCAUCGCCUUCACCACCCACAACAUCUUCACCAACUACGACAACAUCUUCCCCAGCCAUGAAGCCAUGAACACUCUCCCCUACAUCUACCCCGAGGAUGAGGAGUGAGCGGGUGCCGGGAGUGAACUUGGUGGUGUAGGGACCUAUCUAUGUAGCUAGGGACCUACAUAUGUAAUGUGCAUGUUCCCAAUAUAUUAAGGGAAUAUAUCCUAUGUUACUAUUACCUUCAUGUGAUUGCAUUUUUAUAUUUUUAAAUAUUUAAUUGCAUCAAAUUGAAUUAUAAUUUGGUUAUCUUUAGAGUGAAACAACAUAAGGUACUCUUUGGCUGAAAAGAUUUUAAAAAGAAAAAAACAAAAGAAAAAAACUUGAUUUUUGGUGUCCAUUUGAACCAGGAAUACUUGAAUGGCGUAAAAAUAUUGAAAAACAGAAAGGAAGAGCGCAACCGUUGGCCAAUGAGCCCAACGCGCAAUCGCUGACCGUUGGGCCCUCCGCUGGGGUCCCACAUGUAAGUAACUGCGCACACAACUAACGACCAAACUAUCCGCUGACAUAGUGUUCUAUGCGUUAGUGAGACCACGCGCCCACGACUACGCGACCGCUGAGAGAUGGGUCCUACAAGUCAGUAUAUGCACCCACUAACUUGAACCGCGCAGCUGCUGACACACGGGUUCUACAAGUUAGUAUAUGCACUCACUAUCUACAACCGUGCAGCUGCUGACAGGGAUGUCCCAUGAGUCAGUAAUCGUGUUAGAUAACGGUCAAAGGCUUUGACCCAACGAUAGACCCCAGUUUGGUCUUUUGAGAUGGUGGGUCGGGUGAUGGAGGGAAAAAUAAGGACUGCAAAAGAACGGAGGCAAAACUGAACAAAAUUAAGUAAGAAGGGACACAGAAAUAGAAAUUCCUACUAAAAAUGGUCGCUUUUUUUUUUUAAAGACGGGCAAAAGAUUUGCCGCAUAUAUUGAAUAAGAGGGGAUAUUAUUUUGUUACAAACACGCCAAGUACAAAGAUGUUACUCUCCCGGAAAGAUGGUCAUUUUAUUUGAAGGGACGUGAUUAGGAUCAUCUGACUAUUCACAAAAAGUUCACUCAUUCUAUAUGAAAACGUUCAUUCUAUUUACAGGGAAAAAAUGGCACGGUUUUACAAAAUAUGUUGACGUACAAUAAAUAAAAUGUCCACACCGCUAAAAAGGUCACCCUGUUUACAAAAAAUGUUUGCGCUCUAUUGCAAAGUUAAGUUCUCGUAAUUUAAAUAAAAAGUUCACAUUACAAAACAAAUUCACACUGUUUAAAGAAAGUGCCUACGAAAUCUUAAAAAAAAUUGACAGUACUGUACAAAAGUACACGCUCUUUAGUCAGAAUGUUUCAACUCUUUGAAAAAAAUGUUCACGUACUAAGUUAAAAUGUUCACCCUACUAGCAGAUAGUGUAAAUACUCUCAAAAGAAUAUUCAAGUUGUUCGAAAAAUAUUUUCAUGUCCUUUCAAAAAUAUUUUCAUACCAUUUAAACAAAUGUUUCACAUGUCUAAUAUAUUUUCAUUUCGUCCCAAACACAAAUUGGUGUGUACAAUAAAUAAAUGUGGGAAAUAAAAUGAUGAAACAAAUCAUAAAUAAAACAAGAUAGGAAAGUGAAAAAAAUCUUGAAGGGAAAAGAUAAAAGAAAGUAAAUAAAGAAAACUGGUAAAAAAACUAAGAAGAAAUAUUGAAACCGGACGAAAUACCAAAACAAAUGCACUAAAACAGGACCAGACUAGAGGAAAUGUCGUACAAGACCGGAACUGAGCCCGCGUUCACUUACCACCGCCACCACCACCGUUCAUCAAGGGGUGUCUGCCGCUGCUCAUGCUCAAGCCGGUGCCAUGCAUGCUCUCACCCCGUGGAGCUUUAAAUUGAUGAGUAGGUUGGUGCAUUCCGUCUGCUUGUCUAGCUGGUAAGGAGCUCACUGUAGAAAGUGUGUCAAUGUAGACAUGUAAAACCCCUUGAUUAGCAGCAGAAUUUCAAAGCUAUGUAGGAAUCAUUCUGACAGAACCUAAGUGCAACUAUUUUUAAAGCUUAAAAUCUCAGAAAGUUCACUAACGUGGUGAACUUAUCUUCUAAAAAUUUCAAAAAACCAACCAACUCUGUAACUUUCUAAUCCUUAAUAACAGUAAGUGAUAGUAAGAAGGCCACCUUAUGAGAACCAAGGACCAUUGGCGAAUCUACCACGGGGCUUCGACAGACUCGAGCCCCCCUCCAAAAAUUGAAAACGAAAAAUUACUAGUAUUUAUAUCAAAAUUUCCACCUUAUUUACUCUAAAGAAUUGGUAUUUCUUGACUUUUUCUACACGCCGUUAACUUUGAGUCCUCCCUUCAUUUUCUUUCAAGAUUCGCCACUGUCAAAGACAAUACUGGUAAUAAUGAUGGUCCCAGCUUAAUUACUCAUAGUGCAUUGCUAUCUAUAAAAAUAUGCUACAUUUGUGUCUGCUGAAGCACUUAAUAACAUCAGAAUUGAGUGCUGACUGAUACCUCUGAAGCUUGCAUUAAACCGAACACCAAACAUGUUUGCUCUAGUUGAAUGAACAUGGCAGGAAAAAUAAUAACCGGGAUCAUGCGUUGUAUUCUUACUGACCAUUUACUGUAGCACUUGAUGCACAUGUCAUGGCUGCAGUUGGGCAGCACAACCUUGUUGUUCCACUCAAUGUAGAUUAUUCAUCUAUUUCAGCAUUGAUCCUGGAGGCCGGCCUCUUGCUCUCCUCCUGUACUUAUUCAAGCAAAAAAACCUCUACCUCUGGUCGUCAGAGUUGCUGAUCCCAUGUUCCAGUUAGACGAGGCAAGGGAAUAUCACAGCUGUAGUAGAUAGACAAUGUGAAUUUUUCAGUAUCACAUAUCGAGAGCACAAAUGCUUUUUUGUCAUGGUUUUCUACAUUAUGGAGAACGUUUGUUUAGUUACCUUAGAACUCCCUGAUGUUGACUUUCAAAAAUACUUAUAAAAUUAGAAUGUAUGUGCGUUUAUAGAAAUAAAUAUAUGCAAGAACACUUGCGUCUGUACUAUAUUAAUAAAAAUCUGCGUACGUGAGAUUCAAACUAUGAACCUAACCACUCAAUACCGAGCGACGAUAUCCAACUCAGACACUGAUGUUUUUUUUGAAAAAGGAGGAAUAACCCCCGGCCUCUGCAUCAAUCGAUGCAUGCAGCCAUAUUAUUGAUAAGCAAAAGUAACAACACAGUUCGCGGUCUGUGAAACGGAAAUAAACAAAGUCUGGAAAUAAACCAUAUAUUAAUAACUUGCCACAUCCGGCGUAACUAAUAUGAGACUACGAUGCCUAUACAUCUAGUCUAUUACUAGGACGCCAUCCAAACCGGUUGAAGAUAACCCGUGCUGCCAUCUCCCAUCGGUUGCACCCAGUAGCCAUAAGAUCCCUGCUGUCCACAUGACUGAGUAAUGACCACAUACGGAUCCAGAACGUUGCUCGAAGUAAGACCUGCAGAAAAUUGUUGAAUUUCUUCCCAUUAAAGAUUAUGUCGUUCCUUGUAUUCCAUAUAGCCCACAAGAGAGCACAUGUGCCAAUUCUAAUAAGUUUAGAUACUGUAAUGUUGACUCCAUUGAGCCACGUUGUAAAAAUAGAAUUGACGUUUGUAGGUGGAAUCGCAUUAAAAGCAAUAUGGACAGUGCGCCAAAGUAGUUUUGCGAGACGGCGGUCCGAAAACAAAUGUCUGAUUGUUUCAUGUUGAUGGCAGUAACAUCAAUUAGAACUACCUCUCCAACUACGUUUAAUUAAAUUAUCUUUGUUAAUACCACACCUUUGUGCAUAAACCACAUAAAAUUUUUAAUCCGUAAUGGCACUCUAAUAUUCCAGAUAUGCAGAGAUGUAGCUAAUGGUCCUGUAUUGAUCAAAUCUGUAUACAUGGAUUUUACUGAGAAUAUCUCAUUCACAGUUAAAAUCCAUCUAACGUUGUCCGGAAUAUCUGUUAAUUGGACCUGCAUAAGUCUUCUUACCAAGUGUAUCCAUGCCUCCCAACGUGUACCUACUAGAGCUCUCCUGAAGUGCAUAUUAAUAGGUACAGAUUGUAAAACUAUGGACACAUAGUCCUGUUUACGCUGUGCAAUAUUCUAGAGCAUGGGAUAUUGUAGAGCAAGUGGUGUGCUACCAAGCCAAGUAUCUUCCCAAAAUCUUGUCGAGGUACCCUCCCCUACCAUAAAUUUAACCCUUUGGAAAAAUGAACACUUUAUCCUCAUAAGCCCUUUCCAAAAAGGAGAAUCAUUGGGCCUAAUUGUUGCUUCAGCUAAAGUUCUUGUGUUAAGAUACUUAUUUCUUAAGAUUUGAAUCCACAUACCUUCUGUCUGAGUGGAUAAUCUAUAAAGCCAUUUACUAAGUAAGCAUUUGUUCUUAACUUCUAGAUUUUCAAUUCCCAAUCCGCCCUGAUCUUUGGGUCUACAAAUCAUAUCCCAACGAGCUAAUCUGUAUUUUUUAUUAUUCUCAUCAGAUUGCCAAAAAAAACGUGAUCUAUAAAAAUCCAGUCUUUUGCGUACCCCCUUAGGUAUCUCGAAAAAAGACAAAAGAAACAUGGGUAGGCUUGUUAACACAGAGUUAAUUAAAACCAACAUUCCUCCAUAUGACAUGAGCUUGCCCUUUCAGCAACUUAGUUUCUUUUCAAAUCGUUCUUCAAUACAUUUCCAUUCUUUAUUUGUUAAACGUCUAUGAUGUAUAGGAAUCCCAAGAUAGCUAAAAGGAAGAGAACCCAUCUCACAACCAUAUAGCUGCCGAUAUGCAUCUUGCUUAUCUCUUGCCUUCCCAAAGCAUAAGAGUUCACUUUUGUUAAAAUUAAUUUUCAACCCCGAUAAUUGUUCGAAUAAACACAAUAUUAGUUUCAUAUUCCUCGCUUUCUCCAUAUCAUGUUCCAUGAAAAUAAUUGUAUCAUCCGCAUAUUGUAGGAUAGACACCCCACCAUCUACCAGAUGUGGAAUAAGACCACCUAUUUGACCUUUCUCUUUGGCUCUUUGAAUGAGUAUUGCCAACAUGUAUGCUACUAUGUUAAACAAUACAGGUGACAUUGAAUCACCCUGUCUUAACCCCUUAUGUGUUUGGAAGAAAUUAGCAAUGUCAUCAUUAACUUUAACUCCAACACUCCCUUUAUUCAUGAAAGUGUCAACCUGCUGUCUCCACUUAUCAUUAAACCCUUUCAUACGUAAAGCUUGUUGAAGAAAAGACCACUUUACUUUAUCAUAAGCUUUUUCGAAAUCCACUUUAAAGAUAACCCCAUCUAGUUUCUUUGUGUGAAUUUCAUGAAGCGUUUCAUGUAAGACGACAACACCCUCCAAGAUGUGUCUCCCUGGCAUAAACGCCGACUGUGUUGGUUGGACAACAGCAUCAGCUAUCUUCGUUAAUCUGUUAGUUGCAACCUUAGUAAAAAUCUUGAAACUCACAUUGAGUAAACAAAUUGGUCUGAACUGUUGAAUGCGCAAAGCGUCCACCUUUUUUGGCAACAGCGUGAUUGUUCCAAAAUUUAGGUGAAUAGUUGAAGUCUACCAUUAAAUAAAUCAUAGAACAUAGCCAUUAAAUCCCCCUUAAUGACAUGCCAGCACUUUUUAUAAAAUUCUGCAGGGAACCCAUCUGGUCCCGGAGCUUUAUUGAGUUUCAUUUGUGCUAUUGAAUCGUAUACCUCCUUUUCUGUGAAUCUGGCUACUAAAGCCUCAUUCUCCUGUUCAUUAAGUUGUGGUAUAUCUUGGACAUUAUUUUCAUCCAAAGAGAUCAUGGUCUCCUCAGGUUUACCAAAAAGACUUUUAUAAUAAUCAGAGAUAUAUAACUUUAAGUUUUCAUGACCUAUUAUGGUACCCUCCUCUUGCUCUAGUUGAGUAAUAAUUUUCUUUCGAUGUUUGCCGUUUGCAAUCAUGUGGAAGAACUUAGUGUUAUCAUCCCCAUGAGUCACCUUCAUCACCUUAGCCCUUAGAGCCCAUUUCAUCUCCUCCUCUCUCAAUAAUUUUUGCAAUCUGGUCUCAGCAUCAAUUUUAAUAUUCCUUUCAGAACUAUUUAGGUGCGCAGACUCAGCUUUGAUGUCUAGUUCAUCAAUCAGAUUCGUAAGUCUUUCUUUUUCUUUCUUAUAAAUACCACUCAGAUUUUUCGCCCAUCUUCUAAGGAAUUGGCGUAAAUGUCUGAUCUUGUUUUGCCAAAUUUCCAUACUAUUGGAUCCACCUAAAUCUCUAGACCAUUCAUUGGAAAUUAGAUCCAUGAAACCUUCUCUUUCAAACCAACUUAGUUCGAAAGAGAAGACAUUCUUGUUACCCCUAUGAUUGGCCUCCCCUGAGUCGACCAGCAGAGGUGUGUGGUCUGAGAUAGCCCUAUGAAGAGCUUUGACAGUGACUAAUGGGAAUUUCUGUUCCCAAUCGACAGAAGUAAGCACACGAUCCAACUUCUCAUAUGUUGGAACCGGUAGUGAAUUAGCCCAUGUGUAUUGUCUACCAGAAAGCUCAAUCUCUCUUAAAUUAAGGCUUUCAAUAAUCAUAUUGAACAUCAUUGACCAUCUUGAGACACCUGACCUGAUGUGUCUAGUUAUUUCUUUUUUCUUCUCUUUAUCAAAUGUAACGUCAAAGAGAUCAACUCUUGUUUUCCUUUUCUUUCGGCUUUCUUUGGCUGAUUUUGUACCCCUUUUUUAUUUUAUGUUUUAUUUUUAGGUUUUAAUUUCCUUUUUUUUCUUUUUAAUUAUUUAUUCUUCUUUGUUCUAAUUUUAUUGAAAUAUAUUAAAUUUAUAGUAUGUAGAAUCUGUUUCAAAAUCUAGGUUUUCAACUGUAUGAACUUUUUUUCAAGUCGGUGAACUUUGUUUCCAAAAUCGGACAAUGUUUUUCAAGUCUAUGAAUUUUGUUCAGAAUCGAUGCACAGUUUUCAAAAAACAUGUUUUUUCUCAAAUUCAAUGAACUUUUGUAUUUUUCGAUUUUGUGUUUAAAAAAUAAUGGACUUGUUUUCAAACUCCAUCGAUCGUUACUAUGAGUUUUGAAAAAAAGAACCAGAAAAAAAUAUUGUGACCAUGCGCUCAGCAGCGGAGCGAAACAAUCUGAGUGCGUGGUAAAUUAGAUACUGCUCGAUUAACUAGUAGGAGAUCGCAAAUGGGGCAGGCCGUUACCUUGGGACAGAGAAUUUUAGGGAACUUCAAUAUAUACUCAAAUAUGAACUUCAAUAUAACCAGAAUUUUAGUAAUUCAUCAUGUAUGUCCGGUUCUAGGAACCUUUCACCUUUUUUGGAAGCUACCAUAUCUUUUUUUCUAUCUUUUUAACUAUGUUUCCUUUAUUAGUUUUGGUUUUCUGUUUCAGUUUUUUUCUCAUUUUUUAUUUCCUUUUCCUUUUUAAUUUUAUUUCAUUUUUACUGUGUUUUUUUAAUUCAUGGGGGUUUCUGAAAUUGAUCACAUUUCAAAAACUUCAAACAAAUUUAGCUUCAUGGAAAUAAACAAAUUAUUGUACAGUUUUAAAAUAAUAAAUAGUUUCUAGAAUGUUAGAACAAAAUUAAUGAUCAAUUUUUAAUUAUUGAACCAUUACAAAAUCUGCAACCAUUUUUUAAUAUGCUUUUCAAAUCAUCAAAUAUUAUGAGACCUGUUCACGGAUUUUUAUACAAUAGAGAACAUUUUUCAAAUUAUUUUAUAAUUAUUCGAAAUUUGUUUUUAUUUUCUUAUUUCCUGAAGAUUUUUAAAAUUCAUGAAUUUUAUUCCAUUUUCAAAAGGACAAAUUAAACUAAAAACUGGCAGCUAUUAAAGAGUGAGACGGAAAAAUGACUAAAAUUGCUAAGCGAGCAGAUCAGCAAGCGGCCAUCGAGGAGCGAGGUGGUUAACGGGCUUGUAUUGCUCACAACGAGUGUUGUAUAGGAGAGUAACUAAUUCGCGAGCGUUUUUCUGGAGCCUUUCAACGAUCACUCUUAUUCGUUCUUGUUUGACGUGUUUUCAGCUACUGUCACGUGUAGCGUUCUAAGUGUUUCUUUUAAAAAAACAAUUGCAUGCAUUUUUGUCUUUUUAUGUUAGUUAUUUUGGGUAUGCCGGUUGUCUAUCGGUCUUUCUUAGCUUUGGACAAAAAAAAUAUUAUUGCAAAAAAGUUUUCUUUUCUUUCCUGGAAAGCACUGUUUUUUUUCUUUCCUGGAAAGCACUGUUUUUUUUUGCACGAGGACACGUAUUUGUUUCCGCAAGAGGCAUGCUCGUGUCUCUCGUAAACAAAAAAAAUGUUUUUUUUGGUUAUUUCUUCGAGAGGCGUGGUUUUGCUACGUGCCUCUCGUAAACGGAAAAAAACGUGUUUCUAUUUUUUUUUGCGGAAAACACGGUUCUGCUUCCGCGAAAGGCAGGGAUUUGCGCCGUGCCAUUUAGAAAUGAAAAAAAAAUGUGUUUUUAAUUUAUUUUUCGUUUGCAAGAGGCAGGGUUUUGCUACCGCGAGAGGCAUAGAUUUGCUUUCGCGAGAGGCACGGCCAUCCUUCUCGAAAACAGAAAAAAGUAUUUUUUGUUGUUUUUUUUGUGAGAGACACGAGUAUGCUUCUGCGAGAUGCACGGGUUUACUUCGGCAAGAGGCACGACCAUGCCUCUUGAAAACGAAAAAACAUAUUUUUAUUUCAAGAUAGGUAUAAUUUUAUGUCCGAUUUUUUUUAUAAAAAAAGGUUUAUCAAAAUCUAUCAACAUGAAAUCUAUUUUUGAAAAUCUUGACGCGAGGAUUUGAACGACAAAAACUGUUCGAAAUUUGAACACACGGUUUAAAUAAAACAUUUUAAAAAUACGGACCUACGAAAAAGAAAAAAACUUUCAUCUUACGAAAAAUGAAACACAUAAAAUGUGUCACUUAUCGUGACCGAAAGAUAAAAGUGGUCUUUAAAAUGAAUACUUCUUAAUUAGCGAUCUCGGUUAUAUAGCAGCGCACGCUGUGUUGUGCUCGUGUUCAGCUAGCAUGAGGCUUGCUUUAUAGGUCGAUGGACAUGCUGCAGAACAUUACCACAUGUAGGAAGGCAUCGUGAGUUUUGUUUACCGGAAAAAUAAAGCAGCCCUUUCAGGUACACGAAGAAGCUAUUAGGGCAUCUCUAAGGCAAACCUUCCAAUGGUUUGUAUUCGUUUGGAUCUUAUUGUGUGGACAGUGAAAGACUUUUAACACGGAACUAUAUUGGUCCGCUGAACGGUACGGGUGUACUUUUUACGGCCAGUCCGAGACAAACGUGGGAGAUUUUAUGGGAGUGGAGACAUGUAAGACGCCGACACACCGGUCCACCCAAAACCAUUCGAGGACUUCGUGUCUCCAUCCUCUUCAUUUUCUCUCCUUUCCACUUUCUCUCUUGCGUUCGCCGCCGCUCCACCUCACCAGCCACCAGCCCACCACGUCAUACCACUGCUGGAACUGUAAGUCUCCGUCACCUCCAGUGUUCCAGCCGGGCUCCACCCCACUUCUCCUCCAUCGUCGUUCAACCCCUCUCCUCCGAUCAACCGCCGGUACCAUCCGCUAGUGCUAUACUCACCAUGCCCGGUAAAUGUUCAACGAAUUACUCGAGCUAAAACAUUUUUCCUUUCUUAUUUCUAGCAAUGGAUUGUGUCUUGGAAUACAUAUAAGAGCAAUAUGUUGACUCGUCCGACGGCUCGUCUGACGAGGAGGACUAUAUGAAUGAGACAGUGAUGAUGUAUGCGAUCCUUGAAGAAGCGGAGCAUGCGGUGAAGCAUGUUCUUAAUUUUAAGGGAUAGAUCAAGUGUCAUCGAGUGCUCAACCGUAAAAGCGCGCACAACCAUUUGACAUUGAUGCCCAACUACUUCGCCCCGUAUGCACUCUUCAUGGACCAUUUUUGUUGGGUUUUUCGGAUGAGCAUGUCUGCCUCCAAUUAAUUGUGCCAUGGCGUCCGGUCCUAUGAUGACUGCUUCAUCUUGACGAAGCAUGCCAUGUGAACGAUUGGCUUCUCUGGUUAUGAGAAGUGCAAGGCCGCACUCCGGAUGCUUGCAUACAGCACGAUCGCUUAUUCGUGGGACGAGUACCUACGGAUGUCUGAGAGCACAUGCGAAGAUGUCAUGAUAAGGUUUGUAACUGUGGUGGUCGAGGUGUUUUGACCUCAAUACCUGAGAAUACCAACUGUGGCACACACCGAGAGGCUAUUCGCAAUCUAAAAAACAAGAGGGUCGCAAGGUUUGCUUGGGUCUCUUGAGUGCAUGCACUGUAAAUGAAAGAACUUCCCGAAGGCUUUACAAGGGCAAUAUCAGGGUCAUAUUAAGAAGCCCAACAUCAUUCUUGAAGUUGUUGCAUCACAUGAUAUUUGGAUUUGGCACGCUUUCUUUGGCAUGCUCGUGUCUCAUGAAGAAAAGAUUGAACUAGAAGUGUCUAUACCAAGGAAACUACAUGAUGAAUGGGAACCUAUUAUUAAAAUCAUAGUUAGAGAUUAUGAAUGUAAUGCCUUGUGUGGUCUAGCAGCUAGCGUCUCUACUAUACCGAAAUCUUUAUGUGAAGUUCUAGGUCUCACCGAUAUGGAAUAAUGUUCCCUCAACUUGCAUUUAGUGGCUUCCACAAUUAAGAAACCAUUGGUAGGAUUCAUUAUGUCCGCAUACUUUCUAAUAGAAAUUAUAUACCCAUGGAUGUCAUUGUACUUGAUACUGGAUGUAAUCCGUCUUGUCCUAUAAUACUUGAUGGACCAUUUUUGAGAAUCAUAGAUGCGGUUAUUGAUAUGAAAGAAGGUAAUAUAAGAUUACAGUUCCCACUAAAGAAAAGGAAGAAACACUUCCCAAGAUAUAAAAUUAAACCUCCUUAUGAAUCUAUUAUGAGAUCCACCUAUGAUAUUACUCUAAAGGAUAACAAUACUUGAAAGUUUGCAUGAUGCCUAGCUAGACGCAUUAAAUAAUAACGUUUGUUGGGAGGCAACCCAACAUUUACCAUUUUGCUUAUUUUUAAAUUAUUGUGUCAACAUAAUUAAUGCUACUGUAAUAAUUAUGAUUGCAUCUUUUCUUUUCUGCUUGUGCCUAGUAAACUCUUUAGGAUGAUGUGGACGAUAUUUGAAUUAAUGUGGUGCAGUUGUGUAGAAACAUAAACUUUUACACCCAAUAUUUGAAUUGUCAUUUAUUACUGGAACGUGAUAAAUUGCUGAAACUUUUACACAAUAUUUAAAUACGAAUUGCCUACGUUGUACUAAUUUUUCAGAGUUUUCUGAGUUACACAAGUAUGGAUUAGUCCAAAUCAUUACGUAUUAUUCUGUUUUAGACAUAUUCUGUUUUUAUUGCACAAUGUUCUUAUUUUGCUGAUGUUAUGGAUUAUGCCGGGGGUAUAAGUCAUGGGAAAGUUAUAGUACAAUAGGUAUUAUGAAAGAACAAAUAUGAAUCUAUUUAUAACAACAUCUAAUGUGUAUAAUCACUUUCCUACACUAAUGGAUCUCAGGAAGUUCCUGUCAAAUUUUGUGUGCUGAAGUUUUUAAGUUUUUCGUAAGAUCACGAUAGAGUCAAUUACACCAGAAGUACUUGAACUUGUGAAGAAAAGUUAGUUUGAUGCUAAAACUAGCGUCAUACAUUGAACCGGUGAUAAAACUUGACUUGGGCGUGCAUCUAUGAUGCUAAUCCCGUAUGUAUACACUCAACAUGCCAACAUGGUGUAGGACCCACUGUCAGUGACAAAAAAGGUGGUGAUGGACGUGCAACCUAGGUUUUUACGCAAAACACCCUAGAAUUAUUUGCAUCACAAAAGAAAUCAUUUAUUUAUUUUUCUUAGAAAAUGUGUGAGGCUCACCCAUAAGGAAACAAUGCAAAGAAGGAAAAGUGCAAAAGCAGGGAUCCAAACAUGCAACCUCAUCCUAACAAGCCAAAGGUGAUAGCCACCCGACCAAGUCAAGAUUGUUGUCUUGUUGGGAUAACUACACCUAGUGACCCAUAUUUGUCCCCUAAAAAAACCUAAUGAUCAAGAUGGGCCUUAAAUGGGCUGCAGUGACCAUGGACCAUAUUUAUCAUGAUCAUGUUUUUAAUUCAUAAAUAUGAUUAUAAUUCAUAUUACUACUUAACUUAUAUAAUAAUUUUUAAAUAACUAUUAUCUAUAUUUUAGAAUUACAUGAACAAUAUAUUAAGUACUAAUAUUUCUCGUAAAGUAAGUACAUGAAUAUUUACCGGAAUGCAUGAAUACAACCUAAAAAUACAUGCAUAUUUCUUUGAAUACAUUAAUGACGCAUGAGUUUUUUUUUAUAAUUUGUGAAAAAUAUUAUAAUUCAUAAAUAUUAUUUUAACUAUAGGAAUAUUUCUAAAACAUAAUUUAAUAUUUAAUAGGAUAAGAUUGAUGGUCUUUUGAAUAAGAACCUUUUUAGCAUUACGUGAACAUUAUUUUACAUAACAAUAUUUUUAGAAUUACAAGAAUGUUAUUUUAAAUAAUAAUAUUUCUUAGAAUUACAUGACCACUAUGUUAAAUAAGAAUAUAAUUUUAGAAUGAUAUGAACAUUAUCUUUAAUGUUUUCUUAUAAUUACAAGCACAUUAUUUUAAAUAAGUUAAUUUAUUUAUAUGUAUGACAUUUUUUUUGCAUUCUUACAUAGUGCUAUGAAAAAUAAAGUAACUUUUUUUUAGACAAACUCCGAAGCUUUAUUCAUUCGUCACGGUGUUUACGGGGACGAAAUCAAAACCAUUGGGUUGGCCAAACCAGACAUGGCGGCAGCCCCUAGAGAUAAAACGUGAUUCGCCCCAUAUUCGAGCUCCUAAAUUCAUGACUAAUAUUACAAAUAAUAAAGGUAGACUUGAGUUGUAUUAUUUCAUGAACAAUCGCGCCAUAUGCUCGUCCGUUCUUUUGCUCGAUGUCAUCAACAACCACCUUGCAAUCUGAUGCAACUUGAAUUUUUCCUCUCAUAUAUAUCGUCCGCUAGGGCCAGGGACUCCCUUAUGGCAAGUUCCUCCAGGGUGGCUGGAUUUGAUAUGUGUGGGAAAACUAUCGCCAAAGCGCCCAGGAAACUACCUUGUUGAUCCCGACAAAUAGCAUCAAGCGAGCCAUAAGAUCUCCCCCUUCCAAAGGUAACAUGAGUGUUGAUUUUUGCAACACCGGACGACGGUGCAAUCCAUUGAUUUGGUCUCCUAUGUGGUGCGCUCUGUCGUGUGGCCUCAACUAUCUAGAUGGCGUUGAUCUCAACGACAUAUGACUGUAUGAAUCCAUGAAUGGCAUGCAAAGUUUGGAAAAUGUCUUCAUACAUCGCUUUUCAACGUACUCCCUAGAGGGUUCAAAGUGUGACCACAAAAACAAGGACAACUUCCUAGGACAGCGAUUCAUGCAUAGCAAGGAGCCACGUUUUAGCAUUGCCGUCGUUGCUACUGGCCAGCUUGUCAAUGAUGUCCUCAUUCGAGAGUGCCCAGGUGCUCCUUGAAACCGAACAAUGCAGCAAAGCAUGGCGCCAUGUAUCCUCCGCACCACACGGCCGCAUGAACUAGUUGUGGACAUAUUGUGAUGGUUUAGUAGUGCGGUCGUGGGGAUGGAGUGGCGAGCGAGCCUCCACAGAAAGAAUCUCAUCUUCGGAGGUACCUUGAUAUUCCACAGUUCAGUCUAGUCGUCGUUGUUUCACGCAUUAGAGGCUAUCUCCCACUCAUAAAACCAUGAUUCACGGUUGAGCUUAGUGUGCUGAAUCAUCCUGUAUGCGGGCUGGACAGUGAAGUUGCCCCUUCUCUCCUAUGACCAGGCCCAGAAAUCAUCAGUUUGACGUGUACACAACGGUAUCUGCAAAAUAGCUUCAACGUCAAUCGGUACAAACACUGACUUGACCAGUGGCUCAUUCCAGGCAGCCAAACUACGGUCAAUCAAUUCCAUGACCCUCGUCGGUGGUUGUGCAACCAACGAAGUGAUUGGCCCCUUCAUAUUCUCCCUUGGGAGCCAAUUAUCAGUCCAAAUAUUUGCCAUUUCACCGUCACCAUUUCGCGGAACAAGCCCUGGAACAAUUAUGUCCCUUCCCUCCAAGAUCGCCCUCCAAAUGUGGGAUGGAUGUGACCCCAAGGCCGCUUCAAACAAACUGUGUGAACGAUAGUAAACAACUUUCAGAAUCCAGGUGCUAAGAGGAGUAGGGUUUUGCAACAUGCGCCAUGCUUGCCUUGCAAUAAAAACAAGAUUAAAAAUCUCCAGAUCUCUGAAUCCCAAACCUCCCAAAUGCUUUGGCAAUAUCAUCAUGUCCCAUGAUACCCGGCUGGGCUUCCGCUUCCCCUGCUUACUUCCCCACCAAAAUUGCCUAAUGAGGAAAGUGACACUCUGAGAGAUAAAAGUUUUGAUUACCACCUCCUUUCCUACUGCUUUGAUUAGCACCUCCUUUCCUGCAGUAGAUAAAAGUUUUUUCAUCCAUCCUUUUACUUUUUCGCAAACUCUAUCCCUCAAAUAUUUGAAGGUCCCAUUCUUGGAGUGUCCCACAUCCGUUGGCAAGCCAUUUAAGGCCUAUGUGCGUGCUUGUCUAUAAGACAUUGCAGAUAGAAAUCCCAUUUGUACCGCGAUUGAUACACAAUGUGGUGGCUAGCCUAUUCGUGUUAGCGUUUAAGGUCGUGUGCUCGAACCUGGCAACGCUUAAUUUUGCGUCCUCAUUUCCCUUUGUUCUAUUGUGUCCUGGACGAUGGGGUCCACCUGUCAUAAUCAUGUUAUUUACGAAAAACAGUUAAGAGACUUUUUCUGAGAAAAAGUAAAAUAGCAUGGUGUUUUUCCACAAUAAGUCUGGCCACACGCCCGUCCUCUCCUUCCAGUCAAUGACAUUGGGUCCCACGUCAUGUUGGCGUGCCUCGUCAGCAUGUUAUAUGUAUACAAAACGUGAUUAGUACCAUAGAUGCACGUCCAAGCCAAGUUUUGUUACCAGUUUAAUAUAUGCCGCAAGUUUUAGCAUCAAACUAAUUUUUCUAGCCAAGUUCAGAUACAUGUAAUGUAAUUGACUCGUCACGAUAAGUAAAGAAAUAAGGAACGACAAGACCUUAAGCUUGGAGAUGCGAAAGGCAUCCUAAGCUAAUAUUUAAGAAAAACCAUGUUGUGUACAGUCAAAAAUCAGGAACACAAAAAAGUGCACGUGUUUGUUACUCUUUCAGCCUUUCCAAACUUAUAACAAUUAUUUGACAUGUAUUAGUUAUCAUGUAUUUUCGAGAAAUGAUCCUCAUAUGUUAAUAACAGUUACGGAUUACUCAGAAAAUAGUGAACACAUAUUUAAAAAAUGUUCAAGUUAUUAGAGAAAUGUUCACAUUACUAAAACAUGGUCAUGUUCUUUGAAGCGAAAUGAAUAGAGUUAUCCAAUUCAGACUACUCACAAAAAGUUCACUCAUCCUAAAUUAAAAUGUUCAUUCCAUUUACAGAUAAAAAGGCACAGUUUUGCAAAAAAUGUUCACGUACGUUGAAAAUAUCCACACAGCUAAAAAGGUCACACUGUUUACAAAAAAGUUUACGCUCUUUUGCAAAAAAGUUCACGUACUUUAAAUAGAUGUUCACACUACAAAAAAAAUUCACACUGUUUAAAGAAAAGUGCUUGUGCGAUCUUACAAAAAAAAUCACAUUAAAUAAAAAUUUGACAUUACUGUACAAAAGUCCAUGUUGUUUCGUCAAAAUGUUUCCACUGUUUGAAAAAAUGUUCACGUACUAAGUUAAAAUGUUCAUGCUACUAGAAAUAGUGUAAAUACUCUCAAAAGAGUAUACAAGUCGUUCAAAAAUAUGUUCAUGUACUUUCAAAAAUAUUUUCAUUCAGUUUUGAGAAAUGUUUCACAUGUCUAAUAUAUUUUUAUUUUGCUCUAAAAACAAAUUGCUGACAAAAAAUAAAUAAAUGCAAAGAAGAAAACGAUGGACCAUCAAACUCAACACGGGCUCUCUUACUGUUGCUGCUGGUAGUUGUUUAGGUAAGUUCGGUAUCAUCCUCACCAUUGCCUUGGGUAAUAGCCAAGACGCCCUUUAGUGUGCUCAACACUUCCCCCCGUCUUUGGGGCCUCCUUUUCCACUGACAACCAUUUAGGCCUUGUUUGGUUGCAACAGAUUUGAAGGGGAUUGGAGUGGAUUGGGGAGGAUUAAAUCCCCUGUAAGUCAAAAUCCACCUCAAUCCCCUUCAAUCCUCUCCAAUCCCCUUGUGAUGGGCAUUAACCGAACAAGCCCUUAUUGGGUGAAGGAUCCAUGUGCAUAUGUUCUCGAUCGGUUUUUGAUGGGCUUGAAGUAGUAUCCAAGUCAUCAGGGUUGGCAACAGCUUUUCCUGUAGUGUUCAUCUGUUGCGGUUCUGAUACAGAGUGCUUGUGACCUCCUCCGUGACCAAAGGCUUCAUUAUAUUGGGGUUUAGGCCAUUUGCAUAUAGCCAUGCACCAUACUUCUUGUCCUUCUCCUCAUGUAUGCAUGUGAUGCAUUCCUUACAAUCAGGACCAAUCGGUCCAAACACACUACAGAAACGCGCCAGUUUCUCAGACCGCACCAAGAACACUUGGCGCUCUUUUCCCCUAACGAUGCUGACAAAUUUGGUGAGGGGUAAUCGAACAUCAUGACGAACCCUAAUCCUGACAUAGUCAACCCAGGUAUUCCCGUUCAACCUCAUCUCCACAAUCUCUCCUGAGUUUCUAAGUAGAUGUUCCACGAUACUCUUCUUACAAAGGCCAUCCGUCAGCUUGUGGAUUUGGAGCCAGAUCGACUGGACACCAUCGGCACCUCUUCUGCCUUUGUGAACCCAUCAUAUGGGCACAUCAACACUAGCCAAUUCAUGAAUAGCCAUGGCCCCUAAUCCAUCAUACGCUCCCAAUCUCCCAGGCAUGAAGCCUGCACAACAAACAGAUUGAGGCCAACAUGACAAAACCUAACCUGUUGCGCAGGAUUCCAUGCGGCACACAUAUCUUUGUAGAAAGCUGAUUGGCUGAAUGAUUUGUCCGUGUGUACCCUAGCUAGGGCAAACCAUCUCACCCUAUCAUUAAUCUUUGGAUCAGCCUUAUCAAUCACCAGAUCAUCGAAGAUUUCAUCUUCAAGGUUAAGCUGUUCGAGAACAUCUCCAAGAUCUGGUGCCCAAGACCUUGGUAGAUCACGAGGAAAUUUUAUUCAAAUCUUUAGAUCCCACAUACAUUGAAACACCUCACAAAAACUAAAUUUAGCAAUGAUGCUUGUGCAAUUGGCCACUUGAUGGAAGCCUUCCAUAGAAAUUGUGGUCUUCGUCGAAAUAAAGUCGGCCGAUGAAGGCACAUGACUGUUCCCUCGCAAUAUAAUGCCCGACCAACCGAAUUUUAUUCUCUGUGUCACGCCUCACCCGACUCCAUCAUGGGAAUAAAGAAUGAAGAUUUUCAAAAUAUGCUACAAACAUUUUUUUUCAAGUACAUGUUUGAACAUUUCUAAUACAUGUUAAACAUCUUGAUUCAUAAUGCAUAGGAUACUAUGUGUCUUGCAUGGCAAUAAACGAACUACAUUAUGAUACUAUGCAUUACGGAUGUGGUAUCAUACACUAGUAUCAUAUGCAUGAUACUAGUAUAUGAUACUACCCAUUACAACCAGCCUAAUGGGAGUAUCAUAGGUAGUAUCAUGCAUGUCAACUAAGCAAUUUUGAUGAGGUGACAUAGAAUUAAAUGAAGAAACAGAGGGUUGAGUAUCAUAUCAUGAUACCGUAUCAUAUUAAAUAAAGUUCUAUUAUGUGUCUUGCAUGGCAAUAAAUAAACCAUCAUAUGAUACUAUGAAAUACGGUUGUGAUAUCAUACACAAGUAUCAUAUGCAUGAUACUAGUAUAUGAUAGUUCCCAUUAUAACCAGCCUAAGGCUGCCCGUAAUGAUAGUAUCAUAGGUAGUAUCAUGCAUGCCAACUAGGCAAUUUUGAUGAGGUGACAUAGAAUUAAAUGAAGAAAGAGAGAGUUGAGUAUCAUAUUAAAUGAUGUACUACUAUGUGUCUUGCAUGGAAAUAAAUGAACCACCCCUAUGAUACUAACAUAUAAUACUAUGCAUUACGAAUGUGGUAGUAUCAUAUGUAUGAUACUAGUAUAUGAUACUACCCAUUACAACCAGCCUAAGAGCCCGCUUACCUUUUCUCUCUUCUUUUCUCUCCUUCAACUAAGCAAAAAUAUACUACUUUAUUUCUCAUACUAGCCAGCUGACUCAACUCUAGUCUAGUUGUUCUAAGAGCAAAUACAAUAGUAGAGCCGGCUGCUGGCUGUAAACUCAUGCCAUGUCACAUAUAGCCCAUCUUAUAGCUAACAUGUACAAUAGUUGGUUAGAAGAGUGUACUACUUAUUUAUUAUAUGACCCACCUUUCAUUCUCACAAAGUGACUAGGAGCACGUGCUAGAGCUGGCUCUUCACGAAGGGCCCGCUUUCCUUCUCUCUCCUUUUCUCUUUCAUCCAACUCAGCAGAAAUAUAGUAUUUUAAUCCUUACAGCCUGCUGACUGGACCUUAUUGUACUUGCUCUGAUACCACAUCCGUAAUGCAUAGUAUCAUAUGUUAGUAUCAUAGAGCAGUUCAUUUAUUAUCAUGCAAGACACAUAGUAGCACAUCAUUUUAUAUGAUACGGUAUCAUGAUAUGAUACUCAACCCUCUCUUUCUUCAUUUAAUUCUAUGCCACCUCAUUGAAAUUGCCUAGUUGACAUGCAUGAUACUACUCCCUCCAUCACAUUAUAUUGGACGUAUCUUCAAAACGAUAAUUUUUCAUAAUUAGAAGGAAAUAAGACGCAUGGCAUUAAUUAGCUUAUUAAUUGGGGUGUUCUGGAAACCGUCUCCACCAAUGCAUGCGAGAGAGUCGCUCGUUUAGUGGACGGAGGGUUACUAAUGCGUCAGUUUUACGAUUAAUUAGGCGCUUCUACAGCUCGUCGGCUCGGUUUUUCCUACCAAUAGAAAAAUAUCUAGGUCCAAGAGCCUUGUGAGAUACGACCAAUAUACUGUGAUGGGGGAGUACUUAUCAUACUCCCAUUACGGGCAGGCUAACUAAGAGCCCGCUUACCUUCUCUCUCCUUCAACUAAGCAAAAAUAUACUACUUUAUUCCUUAUAGCCAGCUGACUCAGCUCUAUUAUACUUGGUCUGAAACCGGCCGGUGAAGGCGAAUGACCGUUAUAGUUGUAGUUGGCAAUAUAAAGGCCGGCCGACCGUAUUGUAUUCUCCGCGUCACCUCUGACGCGGCGUCAUCAUUAUGGGAAUAAAAAGGAUGGUUCCCAAGCCAACGGCUCCAUCUUCUACAUAAAGAUUCGGUGCUGACCAGUUCGCUGCGCUAAUCAUGCUGCCAUGCCGUGCCGGCUGGCGGGCACUGGACGGCUCGCAAAGUCUUGGCUGUCCGCGCACGCGUGUUUCUUGUUCCUAAACAGAAAAGAAAUCAGCAGCAGCUCCAUGGAAAUUUUCGGAAGAAAUGGCGCCUCUAGAUGGUGGAAGACACACGUGAAGCGCAUGACCGGGAAAUUCCCUUUCUUAACCGCGCAAGAGGGGCAAUCUCAUGAGUUUUGCAAUCCGAUGGCCAGUUUGCAGAUCCGAUGUGGCCACCUCUGUCCAGAAAGUAGUUGACUAUCUCUCCAUGCGAGGCAAUGGCAAUGGCAAUGGCAAUGGCAAAUUGGCAAUGGAGGAUGGCGCAAUCGAGGUUUGCAAAGGAGAAACAAAGCAAGCAGGAAUCGUUGCGGCAGCAAGGUUAAUUAUUAUCAGACUGGCCGAAUCGCCAAAAGCAGGCAGGCAAUCACAAAGGCGCUCGCUGGAUUCCCACCCAGAUCAACGAGCAGCACAUCACGGCAAUGAGAAAUCAAGCAUCCACCAGGUGAUUAUACCACCUUGGCUAACCAUGGUUGGCACAACCAACAUUUGCAAGGAAAUCAAAGAAUCGCCGCAGCAGCUAGCCUAAUUAUUAUCAUUACCAGACAUUCAGACUGACCGGAGCGCCGACAAAUAAAUCAGACAACCAAGAGCUGAAGAGGGCACUCGCCGGACCGGAUUCCCUCCCAGAUCAACAAGCAGCGCAGCGCAUCACGGAUUCACAGCCACGACGAAGUCAAUCAAUCAAUCAUCCACCCAUCAAUCCAACAGUUUAUACAAGAAGACGACGACGACGACUCAGAUUUCGAUUUACAUCAACAGACACGACCUCUUGGAAUCGGGCACUAAAAACGGCAGCAUGAAAGAGAAGCACUCCCUGCGGCGGAGCGAGCGAAGGAGACGGGGCGGGGGCGGGGGCGGAUCGGAGGAGGCGGAGGACGCUUGUUAUCAGCCGCGGCAGCGCGUGAUGGCGGAGCAGCCGCGGCUGUAGGGGUUGGCCUGGCCGCCGGGGCGGCAGUUGUAGUAGGAGGUGCCGCGGACGGAGCAGGGCACGUUGUCCCUCCGCAGCGCGCCGUAGCUGAUGUAGCCGUUGUUCUGCAGCACGCGCCUUGCCACCGCGUCGCCGCCGGGGAAGCCGUACCCGUCGUCCGCCACGUCCUCCACG